rnacentral:lncRNA from 1 species
UUCUUUUCUCUCUUCCUCUUUCUCCCCCUUCUUCUUUCUCUCUCUUCUCCCCUUCCCUUCCUUCCUUCUCCCUCCUUUCCUCCCCUCCCUUCCCUUUUCCCACCGGCACCUUUCCCCUCCCCCUCCCUCUCCCCCUCCAUGACUGGUCACAACCAAAGGGCCACUGUUGGAUCCUUAAUCCAACAUUGGACUUAUAUGUGAAUAAUUAUGUGUUGCAAACUGUCAAUUAAGAUUAAACCCAAUUAAAGUGAUCAAAUAUAGUUUGGGUUUAAUGUAUCUAAUAGGGUGUGGGCCUUUAAUGUGUAGAGACUUAAGGGUUCCUAUUUCUAUGAUGGGCUGAAAUAGGGUUCCAAAGGAUAACAAGAAUGUUACCUAUAAAUAGGGUUAUGGUCCCCAGGUCACAGGUAUCGUUUAGUUGUCGUAUUUCGUAAUACCAUAAAAUAACUCUUCCCUAAUAUCCCAUCGUCAAGAAAGAUACCAGAGAGAAACUAAAGGCCUCUCUCAAAGGAUCGGUGAAUACCUGUUGACCUGGAAGGCCAACCCCAAAAUCUCUAGGGAUUCAAGUAUCAAGUUUAUCAAUAUGGAUUCAGGUACGCUUCCGCUAUUUUAUCGUUUAUUUAUUUCUUAAUAAUCACCAUAUAGAUCUUGGGUUUAACAGGUGAUGGUUUUCACCAAAGGUUAAAUUUAGAUAACCACCCUAACAAGUGGUAUCAGAGCCCAUAUGGUUGAUUAUUAUGAAAUAAUUUGAAUUUAGUAAUUUAUAGUAAUUUUGCAUGGCUGAAAUUUGCAAGUUUUGGUAAUUUGCUGUGUAAAUUCAGUCAUAGUAAAAUUUACACGGCUGAUUUAGUAAUUAUUUAGUAAUUUGCAAACCUUGGUUGCUGAUGGCUUUAUAAUUGCAUGCCUUUUGUUUUUAGCCUCUGACUCAUAACAAAAAAAAAAAAAAAGGCAAUUCAUGGGUUCCACCAACAAGUCUUCAUAAGGUUUCCAUGGUUUUGGUCUUGAUUCACGGCAACUUUUCAAUUCGGUCAACUUUUCAAUUCGUGGGUUCCACCAACAAGUCUUCAUAUGUUAGUCAAAUACUAUUCUGGUCAUGAUUGUUUGCAUAUGUUCAUGGCAGUGGUUAAUUCGUGGAUUGUACUGUCCAUUGUUUUGGCCAAUCUAUUGGUUCUUUAUGCGAUAUUUGUUAGCCGAUUGUUUACUUCGGCUUUGUUUGAAAUUAUGACUAAUUGGCACGUGUUUCAAGAAUCAAGUUUACUUGGCCCGAUUAAUUGUUUAUUUUGUUUAUAUCACUUGAAUCCAUUUAUGGGUAUGCUUUUGAUUAUAAAAUUAGGACAAUUAACUUGAAUUUUUGACUUGAUUCCUUGUUUAAGAAUAGAUUUCUAUAUAUAUUUAUGUUAAGAAAAUUAGGGUUUCUUUAAUUUAAGUGAACCCUAAUAAAGCUAAUAAGAUAUUUAAACCCUACAAAGUCCAUAUGUUUGGCCCACUAUACAUAUAGUUUUAUAAAGUAUUUAUGGACUUCAAAAAAAAAAAAUUGGGCUUGAAUAAUAAACUGGGUCAAAUUAUGGAUAUGGACCUUUGGUUCAAUAAGUUUUGAUCCAAUUGAUUGGUUUGAUCAGAGUUAACUAAAGUUGACUUUGAUCAAAAUUUGUUAAAUUUGUAUAAUUUUAAAUUUGAAUAUUGGUAUGAUUAUAUAUAUUUUGAAAUAAAUUAAUUGAAAUAAUAUGCCACCAAAGUAACCUCUAUUAUGAAAAUUAAUUUAUUUUAGAAUAUAACUAGUUGAGUACUUGUAAUUUUAUGAAUAUUGAUCGGCCCAAAGAAAGGUCCAUAUGUAAUAAAAUUACAUGUGCACUUGUGAUAAUAAAUACGUGAUAAUUAUUUGAAUUUUACAUGUGAUUUAUAAAUUGGCCCAAGGAAAAAUUUAUUUUUCGACAUGUUAUUAUUAUCAGUAUUUAUUACUGCACCAAGAUAUCAUUUAGAAAUUAAUAUUUUUGUCCAAAGACAAAAUAUUAAUGGAAUAUCGAUAUCUUGAGAUGUGGUUACCUUUAUUUAAAUUUAUUAUUUUUUUGGUUUAUGUGAGAUUGUUUUAAUUAUUUUAUGUUUUCUGUUCAAUUGCGAAUGAUCUUACGAAUAUUACUUCCAACAUCAAUAAUAUUCCUAUACUGAAUGACACAAACUUCAAGUCCUGGAAAGAAAAUCUCUUGAUAGUACUUGAAGUAAUGGAUCUCGACCUUGCGUUAAGGAUUGAUUCUCCCCCACCUCUUACAGACUAGAGUACCUCUGAUGAAAAGAAAAAUAAUGAGAGGUGGGAGAGAUCAAAUUGUUUGUGUCUGAUGAUCAUUAAAAAGGUCGUUCCAGAAGCAUUCAGGGGAACAAUGUCAGAAACGACUGUAAUCGCUAAAGAGUUCCUUCAGGACAUUGAAAAAAGGUUUGUCAAGAACGAAAAGACUGAAAUUAGUACGCUCUUGACACGCCUAGUUUCAAUGAAAUAUAGUGAUAAAGGCAAUAUUAGAGAGUAAAUCAUGGAAAUGUCUCAUCUUGUUUCGAAAUUAAAUGCACUUAAGUUGAAACUCUUUGAAGAGUUACUAGUGCAUUUGAUUUUAAUAUCUCUUCCUACACAGUUUAGCCAGUUUAAGGUGAGUUAUAACUGUCAAAAGGAGAUUUGGUCUCUAAAUGAACUCAUUUUACACUGCGUAGAGGAAGAGCAAAGGUUGAAACAAGAGCAGACAAAAAGUACCCAUCUGGUGUCAACCACUAAUAAUAAAAGUAAGGGACUUAAGAGAAAGAAAGAAAAAGAAACUACAGGUACAGCGCCACAAAAGAAAUCAAAUGAUCAGGGAAAAAAUAGUUGUUUCUUCUAUGGAGUUGAAGGGCAUCAAAAGAAGCAUUGUACCAACUAUCACGCUUGGCGUGCUAAGAAAGGUAUGCAUCUUAAUUUGGUUUGUUCUGAGGUUAAUUUAACUUCGGUGUCUAGACACACAUGGUGGUUAGAUUCUGGUGCAACAGCUCACAUUAGUGUGUCUAUGCAGGGUUGCCUGAAUUGCCGAAAGUCUAAUGAUAAUGAAAGAUAUAUCUACGUGGGCGAUGGCAAAACAGUUCAAGUUGAGACAAUUAGAGUUUUUAGAUUAUUGUUAAAAAUCGGAUUUUAUUUGGAUCUCUAUGAGACAUUUGUUGUACCGUCUUUUAGACGGAAUUUAAUUUCUAUUUCUGCUUUGGACAAAUUUGGUUAUUUUUUGUUCAUUUGGAAAUGAAAAUUUUGAAUUGUUUCAUGAUUCAAAAUUGGUUGGUUCUGGUUCUUUAAUGCAUUACGAUAAUCUAUAUUUAAUUGAUACGAUUGUCUCAUUUAAUGAAUCUCUGCAUUUGAGUACUAGAGUAAUAAAGAAAAAAUUAAUCAAUGAGAAUUCAACUGUAUUAUGGCACAAGAGAUUGGGACAUAUCUCCAAACGGAGAAUAAAAAGACUUAUGUCAAAUGAAAUUCUCGACCCCUUAAACUUUAUAGAUUUUGAUGAUUGCAUUAACUGCAUAAAGGGGAAACAAACCAAUCAAGAGAGAUUUGAAGCCAGUAGGUCCUCAGACGUCUUAGAACUUAUACAUACAGAUAUUUGUGGACUAUUUCCUACAUCUGCUUGAAAUGGUCAACAAUAUUUUAUAACGUUCAUAGACGAUUUUUCAAGAUAUGGCUACAUAUAUCUCAUUUCUGAAAAGUCACAGUCACUGGACGUGUUCAAAACUUUUAAGGCUGAAGUUGAGAAUCAACUCAACAAAAGAAUUAAAAGCGUCAGAUCUGACCGUGGUGGUGAGUACUAUGGUAGAUAUGACGGUUCAGGUGAACAACGUCCAGGACCAUUUGCUAAAUACCUAGAGGAGUGCGGUAUCGUCCCAUAGUACACUAUGCCGGGUUCACCCACUAUGAAUGGUAUAGCUGAAAAACGAAAUAGAACGCUUAAAAACAUGGUAAGGAGUAUGAUAUGUCAUUCUACCUUACCAGAGUCACUCUGGGGUGAAGCACUUAAGACUGCAGCAUAUAUCCUUAAUAGAGUUCCAACUAAAACAACUAUCAAAAUCCCUUAUGAGUUUUGGACAGGGAAAAAGCCCAGUUUAAAGCAUAUGCAUGUUUGGGGGUGUCCAACUGAGGCAAGGUCUUACAGGUCAAAUGAAAAGAAAUUGGAUUCAAAAAUAAUUAGUUGUUAUUUUAUUGGAUACUCUGAAAGAUCCAGAGGUUACAAGUUUUAUGAUCCCACAACUAAAUCAAUUUUUGAAACAAAAAAUGCCCGAUUCUUUGAGGAUGUCGAGUUUGGGGGAGAAAAUACAGUAAGAGACAUUAUCUUUAAAGAAAAAUAUAUUAAUAUUUCCACAAGUGUCAUUGAUCUUGUUCUGGAUCCUAUUCCUGAACAAGAUCAUGACAUAACAAAUCAAGAUAAUAUCAAAGAACAAACUGUUAUAGAAGUUCAAACUCUCAUUCUCCAAGAACCAGUGCCAUUAAGAAGAUCCACUGGAGAAAGGAGAAGUACAGUGUCAGAUGAUUACAUUAUUUUUCUCCAAGAACGUGAGGAUGACAUUGGAUUGAUGAAAGAUGAUCCAAUCAACUUCCGUCAAGCCAUGGAAAGUUCAAAUUCUCAAAAGUGGAUCGAUGCCAUGAAUGAGGAGAUUAAAUCCAUGAAGGACAAUGAUGUUUGGGAUCUUGUCCCAUUGCCAGAAGGUGCGAAAUUCAUUGGUUGUAAAUGGAUAUUUAAAAUCAAGAGGGAUUCGAAAGGUAAUGUGGAAAGAUACAAAAUUCGUCUUGUCGCUAAGGAAUUUACACAAAAGGAAGGUAUCGACUAUAAAGAAACCUUCUCUCCGGUCUCUUCAAAGGAUUCUUUUAGAAUUAUCAUGGUACUAGUGACGCAUUUCGAUCUUGAGUUACAUCAGAUGGAUAUAAAGACAGUGUUUCUCAAUGGUAAUAUUGAUGAGACGAUUUAUUUGGUGCAACCAGAAAACUUUGUAUCAGGAGAUCCAAAGAAUAUGGUUUGUAAAUUUAAAAAAUCCAAUCUAUGGGUUCAAACAAGCGUCUCGACAAUGGUAUUUCAAAUUUCAUCAAGUGAUCAUUUCAUUUGGUUUUGAGAUGAAUUUAGUAGAUGAUUGCAUAUACCAUAAGUUCUGUAGGAGCAAGUAUAUUUUUCUGAUAUUGUAUUUUGAUGACAUUUUGCUUGUCAGCAACGAUAUGGGUCUAUUGCAUGAAACCAAGAAAUUUCUGACUAAAAAUUUUGAGAUGAAAGAUCUUGGUGAUGCAUCUUUUGUACUAGGUAUACAAAUACACCGAGAUCGAUUUCAGGGUAUUUUAGAACUAUUACAAAAGAGCUAUAUCGAAAAGAUUCUUAAAAGGUAUGGCAUGCAAAAUUAUAUAUCAGGUGACAUCCCUAUGGCUAAAGGAAACAAAUUUAGUCUUGAGUAGUGUCCCAAGAAUGCUUUUAAGGAAAAAGAGAUGCAAAAGAUUUCUUAUGCGUCAGCAGUAGGGAGUCUAAUGUAUGCUCAAAUAUGUACGCAUCCGAAUAUUACGUACAUUACUGAAAUGUUGGGUAGAUAUUUGAGUAAUCUCGGAUUUGAUCAUUAGAAAGCAACCAAACGGGUCUUACGAUAUCUACAGAAAACAAAGGAUUACAUACUCACGUAUCGGAAGUCAGAUGAGUUAGAGAUCAUUGGGUAUACUGAUUCCGAUUAUGCUGGAUGCAAAGAUACUAUGAAGUCAACGUCAGGCUAUGUUUACUUGUUGGCUGGAGGUGUCAUAUCCUGGAAGAGUGCUAAACAGUCCCUCAUAUCAUCUUCCACUAUGGCUGCAGAGUUUAUAGCUUGUUAUGAGGCAUCCAACCAAGAAAUUUGGUUGUAAAAUUCUGUCACAGGAUUACGUGUAGUGGAUAGCAUUGAAAGACCACUCAAAUUAUUUUGUAACAACAAGUCAGCAGUACUAUAUUCUAAUAACAACAGGAACUCUACAAAAUCUAAACAUAUACAUAUCAAGCUCCUGUCUGUUAAAGAAAGAGUACAGAGUGGACAGUUAUCGAUAGAGCAUAUCGGGACAAACUCCACGGUUGCGGAUCCGCUUACUAAGGGAUUGCCACCUAAAAUGUUUCAUGAGCAUACUGUUCGUAUGGGUGUCAUAUUGAUAAAUGAUGUACAGUUUUAGUAGAAAUUUGAUAUUUUAAAUGCUCUUAUGAUACGUUUCGAUUAUUAAUGAUCUAAAGAUAUUUUAUGCAUAAAUAAAGUUUGGAUUUAUUUGUACUCUGACUUUGGUAUGGUUUGAUCUCAUGGAAAUUUAAGAUGGAUCAGUUGAAAAUAGGCAUGUUUUGAUCACAUUACAUGAAAUUUUCAUGCUACACAUCCAUAUCAUAAUUCAUGUCAUUCAAUUAUAUCAAUGUAUGUGACCAUUGAUGGGUCAGGUUACGAAAUUGUAACAAAGGCCGCUUUGAUCCUAUGUUGGUAUGAUUGAUGGAUCAAAUUGGUUACAGAUACAUUGUGAUAAUGACAGUAAAGUUGAGCUCAUACGGUUAAUUGCGAAACAUAAUUAUAAGGUUACACAUAUAGUCCAAGUGGGAGAUUGUUGGAUCCUUAAUCCAACAUUGGACUUAUAUGUGAAUAAUUAUGUGUUGCAAACUGUCAAUUAAGAUUAAGCUCAAUUAAAGUGAUCAAAUAUAGUUUGGAUUUAAUGUAUCUAAUAGGGUGUGGGCCUUUAAUGUGUAGAGACCUAAGAAUUCCUAUUUCUAUGAUGGGUUGAAAUAGAGUUCCAAAAGGUAACAGGAAUGUUACCUAUAAAUUGGGUUAUGGUCCUCAGGUCACAGGUAUCGUUUAGUUAUCAUAUUUCCUAAUACCAAAAAAUAACUCUUUCCUGAUAUCCCAUCGUCAGGAAAGAUACCAGAGAGAAACUAAAGGUCUCUCUCAAAAGAUCGGUGAAUACCUGUUGACCUGGAAGGCCAACCCCAAAAUCUCUAGGGAUUCAAGUAUCAAGUUUAUCAAUAUGGAUUCAGGUAUGCUUACGCUAUUUUAUCGUUUAUUUAUUUUUUAAUAAUCACCAUAUAAAUCUUGGGUUUAACAGGUGAUGAUUUUCACCAAAAGUUAAAUUUAGAUAACCACCCUAACAGCCACAACCAGAGAUUCAGAUCUAGUAGUAACUGGUUGCAAUCAGAAGCUAGUCGCGGCUGUCUGCUCGAUGGCCAUGCACCAGCAACCAGAUCUGAAGUGGAGGGGAAGAAAGAGGGGGAAGGAGUUUCUGGCAAAGGGAAAGGGAAGGGAAAGGAGAGGAGGAGGGAGGAGAAGGAAUGAGGGAAAUGGAGGAAGAGGAAAAAGAAAGGAGGGGGAGAAAGAGAAGGUGGGAGAAGAGAGGAGGGAGGGGAUGGCGGCAGUGGUGGUGGUAGGUGGCGAUGGCGGUGGUGGGUGAUGAAAGAAAAAGAAAUGAUAGAAUUAUUAUUAUUAUUGUUGUUAUUAUUAUUAUUAUUAUUGUAUCUGUGAGUUGUUUUUUAUGGGUUGAUGUUUUUGAAGUUGUUUUUGUUAAUUUAUUUCUGUAAUAUUGUAUUUGAAAAACUAAUUUUUAAAAAAUAGCAAUAUCCAAACAGAGCCAAAUCUUGUUCAGAUUCAUUUGUAGAUUUACAAAAUAUUGCAUUUUGAGUUUGCAAUUAUAGUGUUGUCUUAUUAGUUCUUAGUGCAAAAUUAAUGAUUCCCAUGUACAUAUAAGAAUGCUAUUAGAUGUUUAACCAAAAUUUUAAAAUUUUGGUGCUUUGCUGGCAGAGGUUAUCGAUGCACUGCAAAUUUGGUGAUCAACGUAUGUUCUAAAUCCAUAUCGAUAGCUCACAAAUGUGUUAGAUUUAAUUAUCGGAAAUAUUCUAUCUUGUGUGUAAUCUCUCGUUUUGUCUGCUUUGCAUUUGUAAAUUAAAUUGUUAUAUUUAUGAUAGCACAUGAAACAUUUAAGUUGUCUGUCUUCAAUUUAGGAUGGAUGGAUCUAAAAUUGUUGAUGAAUAGUGCUAUGGUACAGAUGUCGGUAGGUGACUUAAUAUAAAAUAAUGGCAGUUGACUUGACCAUUCGGUUUUCGUUCCUUUUGUGACAGUUUAGAGUCUUUUGCAUCCCUUUUUUGUGAAUUAAAUAAUUCAUCCAAAAGUACAUGUAACUUUUCCAACUCAAUGCAUACGAUUGUCUUGUAAAAUGGUAAGUUCUAAUUACUUAACAAAAUUUACCUUUUUAAUAUUUAAUCUUACUAUUUUUGUAAUGAAAUUUACUAUAUUUCUUUUUUGUCAAACUUACUCACUUUAGUGACAGGUAAGUUUCUAAGGUAAAUUAGUGAGUUUGUCCAAUAAAGUAGCAAAUUUUAAAAGUUACCUUUUUAUUUACUAUCAUUUUGAUUAGACUAACUAAUUUAGCUGUAUGUAAGUUUUUCAAGUAAAAUAGUAAGUUUGUGCAAUAAAAAAGUAAAUUUUGAAAAUUAUCUUUUUAUUAGUCAAAUUUACCAUUUAUCUGACAAAGCUUACUGUUGAUCUCAUUAAACUUACUAGUCUAGCUGUAUGGAAGUUUUUCAAGUAAAAUGGUAAGUUUGGAAAAUAAAGUAAUAAGUUUUAGUCAUCCAUAUAAGUUACCAUUUCAAUACACAAAGUUUCUAGUUAUCUUCCACAAUUUAGUAUAAUUGUAAAGAAUUUACUAACCAAGUUUUAAGUAAGUUUCACUAAUAUAUUGGUAAGUUUGUGCAAUGUAGUAGUAAAUUUUAGUCCCUUACAAAAAAUACCUUUUUAAUAAUAAGACUUACCCUUUGUUUUUCAAAACUUACUAUUAUUGUAAUUAAUUCUAAUCCAACUUCUUGUAGGUUUCACCUAUAAAAUAGUAAGUUUGUGCUAUUAAGUAGUAAAUUUGGCAAAACUAAUGUUUACCAAAUCAGUAUUCAAACUUAUUAUUUUCAUAGCACAAUUUACCCUAUAAUCAAAAUACCUGCCCACUUUUUCAUCUAAUGUUACUGUUUCUCAAGUAAAUCACUGAACUAUACCAAGAAAAUCACCUUGCUCUAAUUAGCCUGGCAACGUAUAGCUGCUAAGUUUCCUUCAAUCCUCCCUCCCUUUUCCUUUCGCUAGUUCUUACACUAUCCUUCCGACUAACUACUCCCUCUAAAUUUAGAAAGGGCGAAGCCAGCAUGCAAAUUAUUGACCACAGAGAACUAUAAUGGCAAAUGAAUUCAACUAGCAAUGCAUGUUUGGUGGAAAGAACAUAGCUUUUUGAAUUAGCAAUGCAUGAUUAGCGGAAAGGAAACAACUGUUUUCAUCAACGCUGCAGAUAAAGCAAAAAAUUGACAAACUCUAUUGAGCAAAAAGUUUUUCAGCUUCAGAACGCGGAGAUAAUCAUACUGCAGCUUGCUUAUUCUCAAAAGGUUAUACUUUUUUAAUACAAAAAUUCUAAAUAAUUGACAUUGUCUAUUCCUCAGCCACUUCUGAUUAGGAGAUUAAAGCAACAUCAAUUGAACCUGAGAGAUCCUUCAAAGCUAAGAAAGAUUUAGGGAUUGAUAUCAAUAACAAACCGCUAAGGAUUUUGGGUUUUGGUUUAUGAAGUAUUGAUGAAAAAUUGGUAGUACAGUCACAUAUAUUUUGCCUUGAGAUCAAAAUGGAUUAAAAGGGGUGGGGAAACAAUAGGACUCAACAAUAAUCUUUUUUUUUUAAUAAUUAGAGAUGGUUUAAGAGGACAUGGGACACUUUUGUUUUGGUAAAAUUAGUGAAAGAACUUGUAAAUUUCAUUUUACCAUUUUUGCAAUGAAGAAGUAAUUCUUAUCUGAUAUUAAAGCUUACUAUUUUUAUGGCUGAAUUUACCAAAUUUAUGGUCAAAUUUACUACUUUACCUUCUUACCGUACUUUUCAAGUUUCUGGGACUCAAGAAACUUGAAUGACUGGUAACAAAAUAAUCGUUAAAAGUACUGGUCUAGACUGUGGGAACUGCUUAUAACUAGUUUUAUCACUAAAAUAUUCAAAAGUGAGGUGACGAUGAGUCACCAUAGCAUUAUCCUAAUGUGAAACUAGUAGGUAACAAUUCCAGCAAAAGCUAAAAGGAUAGACAAGCUCUACUCCACUAGUGAACUUCUUUGGGGAAACUAAUGCUCUUGUUUUCUUAGGCCACCACCAAAUGUAGUAAACAUGAGGGUGGACUUUGAAGUGAUAAUAGAUUCUUCUCCGUGCAAUGCAUUAUCGGGAGUUUUACUAUCGCUUCACUUGAGGCUAUUCUCUCUUUUGUCCAUCAAAUAAUAAAGUUCCCUAACUACUAAAACUUGCAUAGAAUAAGUGAAAGAGGUUCAAGUUGCUGCUUGGAAAUGCUACAUUGCAUCUCUUAAAGGCAAAAGAAAGAAAAUUUUAUUUACUUGUACAAAUUGGCAUGUACCUUAAGAGAGAGAGUGCAUGGUCAUGAAGUAAACAUAGAAAAAAAGGGAAUGACUCUGAUGAAGAGCUCGAGCAAGUAUUUGUGGAUAUCCUAGAAGAACAUGAAUGAAGUGAGUAUGGUGAUGAUGACUUCACUAAAGGAGAAAAGAAAACAAAGAAGUUACUGAGAAGGAACUUUUCCAAGUUAUCAACAACCAUUUCGUCCAUCUAGUAGAGUAUCUCAAAAGACUUGGCAAAGCAGUUCUUUUUGAGAAGUAGGACAUAAGUAUGAGAGGUUGUGUAGAGAAAUCCUGGAUUUCUAACUCGUUCCAUUUGAAGUUUUAUUUUCAACAAGAGCUUCUAACACGUUCCUUCUAGGAAAUCCAAAAGUUCAUGAUGUAAUCAACUCAGGGGUGGACAAGCUUCAUCAUCUUAUAUCUUCUAGUUGAUUAAUGAAUUCCUAUUAUAUUCAAAAAACUUCUAAGAAAACUCUUAAAACUUUAGCUAUCUUAUUGAAAGACACUAUACUUAAAUGAGAUCUCAUAAAAAUAAACGGACAACCCUCCUAAGGAUGCAAGCCAAGUAGUUAGUCCUCCCGAAGGCGUAGGCUGCUAAUAAAAAAAAUAUAGUCCUUUAAAUGAUGCAUAAUACACAAAAAUUCAUUUGGAAAAAUACUUCUCUAAGUCUAAACUUAGAAAAAAUUAGCAAAGGGGCAAAAAGUUAAUUCCAAAUUUUCUACUACAUUAUAUCAUAGAACUCGUAUUUGGCUUUUUGUGGCAGUUUACAAAAAAAUUCUUAACUGAAUAGAUGGAACUUGAUUUCCAUGUGAAGCCAUAAUAUAUUCAAGAUUUCAAGUUACCUUUAUUUCCAUAGUAUAUCUUUUAUUCAAGUAAGCAAAAUCCUUAAUGCAUUACUUUUAAGUAAAUAAAAUUGCAUAGGAGCAAAUCUUGUGCUUAAUGUAAUAUGUUCUUAGUUUUAUCAUUUUCCCUUCAAAGAAAACGACGUAGUAUGGUAGGGGUUUAGCCACCCUACCAUUUGAAUCACUUUUAUAAGUUUUCAUGCCUUGUUUCGUUGUUGUUUUGCGAGAAAGAAGAUAAUUACUUCUGCAUGUUAGGAUUAAACGUUUAUCAUAAGUUAUUGUUGAUUGGUAUGUUGUGUAUCUGUUGUUAUAGCAAGCCUUUCUCCUAAUUCGGGUGAAUGCUACCACCAUGAUGAUCAAAUAAUUGCUAAGUUUGAAGAUCAAAGGCAGCAACAAAGCUAUCAAAGAAAUUCCAAUCUCAAUUUGAAGAUUAAAGGCAACAUCAAAAAUAUCAAUGAAAUUCCAAUCUCUCACAAGCUAAUACAAAGCUUUACCAUCCAAAAACCUUUAAAUUCAUCAUCAGAAGCUGCCACACCCUCAAAUGGUGAAUCCCAAAACCCUCAUCCAAGAAUUUGUUUUAAAGCUAUAAAAAUCAUUUCGAUAUAAGGAAUUUCACCUAAAACUACUAAAAUAUUGUCACCAGUAACUUUCAUUGUACAUAAAACCAUAGUCAUAAAUAGUCCCUCCAAGAUACCAUUUUUGAAACCACUUUUGAGUUAAAGGAUUUCGUACCGUCAGAGUUAAAGGAUUUCGUAAUGGUAAAAGUGCAAUUCUGGAAAGCAAAUCUCGACAUAUUAGGCCAUAGCAUGACCCAUGAAUUUGACACCCAUAAUGUCAAGAACUUCAUAAAUGUCAUGUUUAUUUUAUAAUAGACCUUGUUUGUAUGUGUCUAUAAUUAGAAACUCAAACGAAAGUACAACCUUUAGCCAUGUAUUAGUCCUUUGUUAUGUCAUUACCAUCUUUAUGAAAGAUGAAUUGUUUGUUUGAGCUUACCAUGAUUUAGAUGUACCUUGAAAUCGUGUAACAGCUUUCAAGAUAACUUUAUUAGCCACAUCAGUCAACAGCAAUUUUCCAAAAGUUACACCACCCUACACACAAAGGGAUUAUAAAAAUUCAUAAUGGUAAAAUAUCAGUUUAAGACGCAUAUAUUUCUACCUUAAUAUGAUUCUAAGUAUCUAUUAAUUUUUCUUUUACGUUACUCUUGAGCUAUUGGAUGACAAGAAGCUGGUAAUUCAAGGGAAAAUUUCUGAAAUUUAAGAGGCUUGAAUCACUGGUUGAGCCUUGACUAAAUCUUUCCCAAAUUGGUUUUUCAAAAUCUUUCCCAGAUUUAAGAGGCUUAAAUCUUUCCGAAAUUGGUUUUUCAAAAAUAAUUGAAUUGUUUUCAACUAGCUUUUUGGAAUUGAGGGCAUAUGUCUAAAAUGUUUGACAUCCAUGCAGACUAACAAUACCAUUUUGUUGUGAAAACUAGCCAAACACAUAAACACAUGAAGCUGCAAUUAGUAAUUUUGCCACCUAAAUGAUCAGAUAUUGCUCAUUUUCCUGACUAAAUUCAGCAGUUAACAACUGGGAAGGGGAAGCGUAACUCAACAUUUAGCAUAAGGUCAUAUCGUCUUCGUAUCUGUUUCUGAGAUCAUUUUAAAGCAUCGACUGUUCAUAGAAAUUAUUAAAGAAAUCGUAUGUGAAUGAAGCAUAAUUGGAGAUGUCAAGUGAAUUACUGGCGGAGUCAUGAUGUUAUACGAAAGAAAAUUAAUAUUUACUUAAACGCAUAUUAGUGUAGAAAUAUAUGUGCAUUAAAUUAAUAAUCUACCAUUUUGAAUUUUUAUAAUCCUCUUUACUCCUUCCAUCCCAUUGUUAUUGUUAUAUUUUCACUUUAUUGAUGUCUCAAAAUAAGAGUCACCAUUUCAAAUUUAAUACAUGCUUUCCAAUCUUGUCAUUUGAAAAAGCAACUUUUAAAAUUCUAAUACACAUCUAUUAAGAAAAUAUUUUGAAUUCAAAGGAUGCUUUUGUCAAUUUAUUAAUGUCAUCUCAUCUAGACAUAUGAUUAUCAUGUCUCUAUAAAAAAUUGGAUUCGCAUAAAAUGACUCUAAUAUUGGGACAGAGGGAGUACGUGUAGUGUGGGGAGUAAUGCUCAUAAUAGUCUUCACAUUUUUUUAGGAAAAUGGCCAUUUUGAUCCUUCAUCUUUUGGAUUUUGGCCAAUUUAGUCCCUUGUCUAUCUUCAUGACCAUUUUAGUCUCUUAUCUUUGCGAAAGAAUGCCAAUUUAAGACCUCUAAUGAAAAAUUAGAAAUUUUUGACAGAACUAGUCACAUAUAAGGCAUGUGCACUAUUAGAAAUGAUGGUUUUGGUCCAUUAUCUUCAAAGUCAUGUCCAAUUUUGUCCCUUAUAUGUCUAUUAUGAUUUUCUAGUUUCUCAUUAAAAGUCCUACAGUGAUUUCAUUUUGUGAAAAUGCGAGUUUAAAUUACUGAAAAGAUAAAAUUAGACAUGAACUUGAUGGUAAUAGACCAAAAUAGUCAUUUUUAGCACUUCACAUGGCUUGCAGUUAACUAAUUCCAUUAGAGAUUUUCAUUUUUUCUAUUUGAUAUCCUAGAUUAUUUAAUUUUUUUUUGUAAAGAUAAAAAAGUAAAAUGGCUACAGUGAUAAAUAAGGGACUAAAUUGAUCAAAACUCCGAAGAUAAUGGACUAAAAUGGCCAUUUUCCUUUUUCUAAAAUGGAGCAUCAAAAUAUGAAGUUGACUAACCAAGCUUUAAAGACAAAACUGUUCACGAAUUUUUUUCUUUCCCUAACUUACCAAAACAAGAGUUUCAAAGUUCAACUAGUUGUUAUGUUAAUAGUACAAAUAAUUAAUUUAUGCAGAAGAUACUUUGGAAUGUGGUCAUGCCAACUAUCUCAUUACUAACUAGUUGUCACCUAGUGCAUUGCACGGGCAUUUGUUUUGCUUUUACGUUUUCUUUAGUUUAAGUGAAACUAUGUUUGUUUUUCCUCUAUUAAUUUGGAGAAUGAUCAGAAAAAAUGUAGCAAAGACUAUUAUAAAUAAAAUGAAGAAAUUUCAUCAAUACCUUUUACUACUUUCAUCAUAUUCAUCUUCCUUAAUAUACAAGGUGAAAUUCUUAAGAUAAAAAAUUUGAUACCUAUUACGAAAAAAAUACGAAGACAAAAAAAGAACCAUUACUAAACCCAAAGAAUUUCGAGCAAAAAAUAUGAAGAAAAUAAAAGUUGAAACCUUCCUAACGUACCUGCAAGUGUAAAAGAUAAGAGAUAAGAGAUUUACAUAGUUGUUUAACAUGAAAAAGCGUCCACGGAGGGCUGAGAGAGAAAUUUGUUGAGAAAAUUUAUCUAGUGUUGAAAAAGAUAAAAAAAAGGCCGGAGAGAGAAUAAUGAUGAGGUCUUCUAAGAGUGCCUAUAAAAAACUCGCUUUGUCAAAAUUGUUGAUAUGUAUCAAAUGAACUCAGGAGUUCCCCCAAACACUUCACUAGACUGAAUUCUUUGGCCUAACAGAGGCAGAAAAUUAUUGUUCCCGUUGAAAUGUUUCGAGGGAACUCUAGAGAACAUCUAAUGCUCUAUUAACAAAUCUAUGCUUUUGCCCCUUGUUAGGUCACUCUCUUUAUAGGGCUCUCCUGUCUCCACACAUGCAGUUUCUGCAUGUAAUUACUUUUCACAAGCCACAUGCUAUUUUUUGGAGAAUGGACGAACCUAGUCAUGAUAUAGGAUUAGAUGAAAGACAGAUAGCCAACAAAACUUGAGAGGUCAUGUUUCUUCAACCUUUUCAAUCAGUAGGCAUCCCCUUUGAUCUCUCUUUUUCAACUUUUUGUUCACGAAUAUAACAAUAUUAUUUGUCCAUAGAAAAAAAAGAAUGGCGAAUCUAUCAAUCUCACGCGUGUUAAUUUGGCAGAAGCAUACAAUUGCUAAACCUAGUCCACUAGAAACAUAAAUCUGGUAAUUGUCCAUCUUAAACAUACUAAAAACAGCAGGAUUGUUUGUCCAAGCAGUUCGCAUCACUUUCUAGUUGCAUUAAAAACCAUAAUUUUGCUAAUAAACCUAGGAGUUAAGGAUAUGAGAGUUGGAAUACAAGUGGUUGAGCUCUAGAGGGUACAAGAUGACAAGAAUAUAUUUUAUGUGUUUUAAGUAUGUUUUAUUAGUUAGUUUUGGUGUGUUUUAAUUAGUUUUAUAGCUAAUAAACUAAGAUUCUAGUGAAAAUAUGUAUUUUAUGGUUUAAAGUGUGAAAAUUGCAUUUCUAUAAACUUUUACGGCAAAUAUUUCAUGUUUUUGCAGGAUUAAUGAUUUAAUCAUCAAAGAGUAUGAAUUGAGAAGAAAAUUUGAUGAUUGGUGAUGAUUUGAGGUGUUUAAAGAAGAAAUGAAAUGCAAAAUAAUCAAAUGAAGAAUUGCAAGAGAAGACUAUUUUGACACGUUUCUGUAUUUCGGCUAAAUCUUGAGCUAUACACACUGGAUUAAGAUGAUUCUUGAACCAUUUUGAAGCUAAGAAAUAGAUCUACAUUUGGUAUGAAGACAUUAAAGUCCAAUUCAGCCGUUUUCCUGGUCAAAAAGUCAAAACACAGAAGCUUAUCUGUAUGGUCGAGAGCUGAAACACAGAAUUGACCAGUCUAUGGUAUUUCGAUCAUAUCUCCAUCCACCGAGCUCCAAAUUAGAUGAUUCUUGAAGCAUUGGAACGCUAAGUCAAAGGGUUACAACUUUCAUGUUUUGCACAACAGCCAGUUCGGUGGCUAUCAUAGAGAAAAUUACAGUUGAAACGAGGUUAAAAGUGAAUACGCGUAUGGAAGCUGAAUUUCUGCAAAUUGCUCAGCCAUUUUUCUCAUUUUCAUACUACUUUCUAGCUGUAGUUGGAGAGAAAACUUAGGUUGCACAUGUUUCUGAUGCACAAAGGAAGAAAAAUAGCUUAUUGUCAAGUCAAAAAGAUACGGUAGAAUCAAGAGGCUGAUCAUUGUUUUGUUGACUUUGUUAACACCUUAGAUUUGGAGAAUCAAGGGGGGAGAAGAAAAAUAUGGUAGGAGAGGGAAGUGACAUCAGAAUUUAGCAUAAAAAUUGAGGCUGGUGAUAUUCUCUCUAGCCAGCAAUUUUUACAAAAAACACUUGGAGAGCUUGGAGAGACAUACGGGAGAAAGCUUGGGUCUGCAAAAAUGUAGCUCUUCCAUUUUUUGUGUGUUAGAUUAGUUUAGUAUAGAGUAGUAUAGCUCAUCCACUCUUGUAUAUUGACUAGAUUAGGAUGAAGAUGGAGAUAAAGAAAGAGAAGUUGAAGCUCAUGUGACAAGGGUUAUCUCUUCUCCAACUCUUUAUCUUUUGUAUUGGAUUCUUAAGUAUGGUCAAUAUACAAGUUUUGGAUUUUAUGUUUAUUAUGUGUUUCUAAAGUUUAUGCCUUGGGUUUGGUUGAACUUUCUAUGAUUGCUAGUGUUUAUUAUUUGGCUAUUUGAUUGCUAUGAUGUGAGCAAGUUAUUUAGCACUUUAGAUCUCUAAAUCAUAAUUAAUCUGGUACCAUUAAUUGUGAUUAUCUAAGAUGUUGUUUCUGCAAUGAAAAUUGAGAUUUAACACUGGUUCAAGAAGUGCUAAACAUAAGGAGUACACUCACAAGAGUAGAGGUGCACCUAUGUGGUUUUAGUGAUUAAUUUCAUGUAAUUUCAUUGAAGAAAUGAACUUGUAGCUAAUUUCAUAACCAUGAGAAUAAGUAUGGAUUAGUUAUAAGUAUAGUUGAUUCACCACGAAAGUAGGAUUCAUAUGCAUAAAGAAAUUACAUCAUAACUAGCCAAGAUAGUGGUAAUCAAUGAUCCAAAAAUAGCAUUUGCAUGAGUAGUUAGGGAUACCAUAACCUAAGGAGCUUUCAUUUGUUAUUUUGCAUAAGUUCAGUAGGUUUCAUUUCUUAUAUUUUAUUGAUAGUCAAAAUAAUAAAGAAACUUUAGUAGUGCCGGUAAUUGUUCAAUCUUUCUCGUGUGAUCGACCUGAUAUAUACCCUAAACUACUAGUUGACCUGUAUACUCGCAGUGAAACGGGUGUAUUUCAGAUUUUUAACUUGUACGUAUAUUAAAAGCUCGUCACAAGAGUAGUAGGUUUAUUCUUAUCUUUUCAUUUGCUACGUAAUUCUGACUAGGUUCAAGCUAGAAAAUCCAUAUGGAGACUUGAUUUUCAAGAGAUCCUUUUAGAGGGCUAGUUGUCCUAAUCAGGAAGGCCACAAAUACGCACGUACAAAUCUUAUCCACUCAAACAGAAGAUAAUUAAGGAAUCAGCUACACCACUACAAAUUCUCUGCUUUGCACAUCUGCACUUCACUGGUUAAUUUCCAUGUGAAUUCAGCAAAAUAUGCAUCUAAAUUCUAUCUUUCAAAAAGAGUGGUUACGUUCUUUAGCCUAAAUUAAACGACAUGACAAUCAAAGACAAAUUUUGUAUUACAAGAAGUGUAUGGUUGAUUAAUCAAAGACAAAUUUUGUAUUUUGUAACACAAAUAGGUUUGUAGGAAUUCAAAUUCUACCAUUUUCAUUGAGUAAUGAUUAAUGAACUAUUGGCCUUAGAAGCACCAUGAACUUUUUGUUGCACAAUCCUUGAUUAUGUCUCGUUUUUUCAAGAUUAUCCUAGUUUAAGUCCUUGAGUAAAAACUCACCCAUCUGACCUCCAAAGUGUUUUGAGAACCUUGAGACUGCACUCCCUUUACCAGCCAAACUCUCCAAAUCAACCUUCUUUUCUAGUCAAUUGGAUUAUUUUCUACAUAUAAUGACUGACAACCAAAUGGCUUCUGAUCAUUUCUAUAUUGCAAAGCAUGACCUCUUAGCGUACUUCUAGCGUAUAAAAUUAACCAUUUGAAUAUUAACUGACUUGUUAGAUAAGGAUCCAUUUGAAUGGAAUAAUGAAGUAAAUGCUGGUUUUCAAACUAGAACUGUACUGCACCAGUUUUAGCCUUGCUAUAUUUUUUUGAAACAUUAAUUAUAUACCUGUGAUUAAUACUUAUAAGGCAAUAGAAUUGAUGAGUACUAAUUGGCUAGCGAUACUACUAAAGCCAUAAUCUUCUAGUCAAAGUAAUAUUUAUCCAAACACGGACACUACUCUCAAUUAGUUAAUGCCAUAUAUUCUAAUUGUUGUUUUUGAACUCAUUAUCCACGAAUUACUCAUUUUCUUUCUCUUUCUCAUUGACAGAACGAGCUUUUGUCUACUUCUCUCAUUUCCCCUCCAAUUCUUGCCUUCCAAUCUCUCUCCCUAUUUCCUAUUUUACAAUUUGUUUUCAUUUUGUUGAGACUUUUUGUAGUAUAUGGUUCAAGAUCUUUUGCAUAAUACUAUUCUCCGCUUUGCUCUUGUUAUUUUUCCAUCACUAUUAGUAAGUGUUUCUUUUUUCUUCCGUUUUUGCUUUUAUUCCAUUAUGUUUUCUAUUAAAUAAUCUUUUCUUACAAUUUUUUUCUUUUAUUCCAUUAUGUUUUCCAUCACUAUCAGCACAUUAUUACAAAUUUCAUCAAUUUUUUUAUAACUCCUCCAUGUUCCAGGUGCUUCUUAUUAUGAGUGGUAUACCUACUCUUGAACGGCUUCAUCAAUUUUAAUUGAACUUUAAAUCUUUACGGUGCAAUGGUUGCUUUAGUGGACAAGCUCAUAUUCGUUAGCAAGAGAAGAGGGAGAUCAUUAGGCCAUAUCUAAUCAUCCAUACUAAAGUCAUUUUUUUCAUAUUAUAAAAUUAUAACCUUGAGGGUUUACUAUUUUUUUUAAUUCAUAUUUUUUUUAUUAAAGAUCAUGGAAAAACUGUGUGAUUGCUUUUAUAAUGUCAUUCAAACUCAAUCCUAUGAUAUAUGCAAAUGCUUUAUUUCUUUGAAUUUUGCUUGUUUAAUGUAUUAGUGUGCAAUUGAUCUCCUUAUAAACUUCACUACCUUUUCCGCUUUUCUAAUUAUUAUAUGAAUCUUGAUUUCAACAUGUGUCCAUAUUUUCUAAUAACUAGAUUAAAUUUAUUUUUAAUUGUGUUAUGUUCUAUACCCCAUGCAUAUAGAAGGAAAAGUGUGUGUACAUUUUUUUGGACUAUUUUCAUUUUAGAUUGUUAGUUGUUUGAGUUAAAUCACAUUGUAUUUGCAAAAAAACAAAAUAGCUUUUAAAUACGACUUUGAAAAUUAAAAAUAAGAGUGCUUUAAAGUAAAAGAAUUACAAUCUAAGAAAAAAUAUGGUAAAAACUCAAAACCAAAUCAAUGAGUUAUGAAAAUAAUAGAUAAAUAAAUUAAAGAGAUGGAAGAAGUAGGCAAGCUAUUCAAUUAACUAGAGAGAGAUGAAAAGAAAUAAUUGGUGGAUAAUGGGUCCAAGAGAAUCAAUGAGAAUAUAUGGUGUUGAAUAGUUGAGGGUAAUGUUGGUAUUUGGAUAAAUAUUGUUCUGGCAAGAAUAUUAUUGCUCUAACAGUAUCGCCAGCCAUACUAAUUACAUUUGGUAUAAAAUGCGAAAAAUGGAAAUGUUUUAGUUGGAAAUCAAAAAGUAUGGGCGCCCAUGAAGUAUUUCUCAAAUUAAGGGUGACAACAUAUGUGUUGGUUGGGAUCUAAAUUUUUACCAUCUAAACCCAACCCAAACUCAGCCUAUAAUGCAUAGAUAAUAACACAAAAUAGUAUUAAGAUAAUAGCACAUAUAUAAAUUUUCACCCAUUUAUAUGUAUUUAGAUAAUACCACAUAGAAUGCUGUAUACCUAAAAGUGCAUACAUACACAUAUGUAUAUGCGCAUAGGCAUGUUUUGUAUUAUAGUUACUACAUACAUUCAUGUUAACACAUUAAUUUUUGGAAGAAUCUUUGUCAUUCUUUCACCAUAUAUUUUGUUAAUCAGAAUAUACUUUUCCUCAAGGAAGUUUCAAAACUAUUAAAAUUUAAAUUUUUUCUCAGAUGACUUUUUGUAGGACACUAAUCAUGGUAAAUAAAAUAGGUCAAUGACCCAAUGUCACAAGAAUUGUGUGAAAUUAUGGAUAUUCAUGGGCCCGUACCCGUUAGGUCACUUGUACACCUUUGGACCCUGGUUUGAAUCUAAACAAAUUAAUUUUGGUGUGGAUCUAAGUGGUCUAAUGACGAAUAGAUCCCCAAGCCCAAAUCCAUUUAGGCUCCGGUAUGGGUUUUACCUUUAGCCCUAUUAGAGUUUGUAUCCAAACAAAUUAUAUUUUAUAAAGUUGAGCCCGGAAAUUUCAACCCAAACCAAGCACUAACAUCCUUAACAAGAAUCACGAUAUACGUGUGUAAAAUCUCUAUCAGAAUUAUAUUGGUUGAUGAUAUGUAAAAACAUGCUAAGCAACUUAUAAAUUAUGAUUCGAAGGAUAUAGUCUGACCGCAGCAGCGAUUGGUGUCGAAUUCACCUAAACUUUAUCCCAAAAAAAAAAAUUGUGUCAGCUGGCUUAAUAUUUAUUGAAAAUCAGACAUAAGCAGUAUAUGGCACGCUCUUUUUGGCUUGGUCUAUGCAUAGGUUCUAUAUAAGAUUUUAAAUCAAGCUAACAAAAUCAUCACAAUCGAUGUCAUCCCUGUAAAGAAUGUGCAUACAAGUUUGUAUAAAAUUCAAUUCCGAAUUUUGUUUGUUGAAUACAAUUAUUGGAUAUUAUAUAUGAGAUUCUUCAUAUUUGCAGAUUAUAAAAAUUUUUCCUUAAAGAGGAAUUUUCACAAGAGCUAUACCUCUUCUUGGUAGACUGCUAUGUAACUGGUUUCUCGGUUUUCUUUUUAAAUGUUGCGUCAUCAUUUGCAUUUGGUAUGUUCAUCUAUCAAAAUGUUAGCUGUCAAUCAAAUUUGAAUGCAGAACUCUAAGAUGCCGUAGUGGACCGAGAAGGAUUUUGGCACUGGGGCCAGAGGGCAAAUAUUAGUUUACCAAAUCGAUAAAGGGGCUUACCUCUACUUUUACAAAAAUCUUUCUGGGACCAGGGUGGGAGAGCAGGGAAGCGAAGGAAAUAUAAUGUAAUUUUUUCUUUUAGUGUAAAUGAAAGGAUUUGAAUUCGGAACCUCUCGCUUAUAUUUCCUACUCCCGUACCAUCCAAUCGAUCUCACCCCUGGGAGUAUAAUAUAAUUUUCUUAAAGACUUGUCUAGGAACUUUCACUUUUAGAAUGCAGGAAAUAUAGUUUUUAAAGUCUUGGAAGGGUUAAUACUUAAUACCCCUACAUGGCACUUGAUAGGAAUUACCCCUUUUGGUUUUAAAAUCAUAAACUCAACUGGUAUGUUGCAUGUCCAACUACAAAAAUUGCAACAAAGGUUUCCUUUUUUUUUUCUUUUAGCAUUGCAACAAAGCUUAAAAUAAAGAAAAUUUAUUUGUCUUUAUUAAUGAAAAAUGUAGAGUUUCAAGAUGUGUUAGCAUUGGCUUCUUCUAACAUUCAUAAUCACAAAGACACGUCAUAACCUAUAAUAUACCUGCGGCACGAUGAUCAAAGGUCAUCAAGAACAGAAAAAAGAUCAAUGCCUUUGCCAUCUUCUUGUUUUUGGUUUUUUUUUUUGUGUGUCUUUCUUGCUCUUGGUUAAGCUAGAAUACUACAUCCUACAAGUGUUCCAGAAGGUCUUCUGUAUAUUGAAACUUUACCCACCAUAAAGAUUUGAUUAUUAAUGCCAAAUCUUGUAUUUAUGGUAUUAAUCAAAUAGCAUAUGUUACUUUAGUAAGUGAAUCACUAAAACUGAGAUGUGAUUUUAUAAAAAUUAUAUCAUGUCUAAUAAGAAUAGUAAAAAAAAAUUUGCAUCAUUAAUGUGUAUUUAUCGAAUUAAUGCUGCUAGAAUUGGUUACCAAAUUUUCUCUCCACAGAUAUUUUAGAAACUGUGAAUGGAAAAGUUACAUCAGGCAACAUGCUGAUACUUCAAUACACGAGCAUCUAUACCAGUAUUUGGAUAACAAAUCCAGUACAUGAGCAUUUCAGUUCAUGAAAAUAUUUUACCUCGUUUUUCGAAAAUUAUGAUAACAAAUCUAUGAACUUAAAAAAAUCGAUGCUUGAAGGAUUAUCUAGUUAGUAGUGGGAAGGGUACACCCUUCAUUAGGUUUAAAUUAAGGAAAAUUAACAGAAAGUUAUUAUAUGAAUUUAGGACCUGUUUAAUGGAUUCAAAUCUUAAUAUAUUCAAAUGUGUCUGAUAACUAAAAAUUGAACAUCUCAUUCAGCAUUUAAACCUAAUGAAUUCAGAUUUUAAUAUAUUUAGAUGCAUUUGAUAACUAAAAAUUAAAUAUCUGAAUUAAUUAAAUGGCACUAAAGUUUUUAGGCACAAUUGGCUCCCAAUAACAAGUGAUAAACUAUUCACUUAUUAUUAAUGUGAUAUACAAUCAAAUAUAUCAAAUUUAGUAAUUUAAAAUUUUAAUUAAUUUAAUAGAUUCAAAUUUCAGACUUCAAUUUUAUUAAACGCACCCUUAGAGAAUCAAAAAUAAAUUGAGGAUAGGAAGUUAUGGAAAAUUAAAAGGUAUUAGGACACUUGUUUAGCGAGGGCAUUGCUAGGAAGCACAAAAAUGUUACAUCAAUGUAUCUGCUCUCACUAUGUUAAAGUUGAAACAAUGGUGUUGCUCUUGCUUUUAUGGUGCCAUAAAAGGAAGGUGAAGUCAAUAGAAGAAAUAUAUCCAAGAAACUAUUGUGCAUUAUGUUGAAAUUAAAAUUGAAAUUUGAAAUGACUCAUUUCAAAUGAAAUGCUGCAAUAAUAUAACAAUCCAUGACUAAGUUCUUAACAGAUUAUGACUUGGGUCCCAGCAAGCCUAGGAUGUUUAGUCCGUUGAUUAUAAAUGCUAGAUGACAUUUUUCUCUGAUAUUUCUUGACUAUACCGUAACAAUAACAUUUUCUUUAAUGAUAACAACACUAAUGAACUGGAUUCCAUCAGAACUUCAAAAUUAAACGUGCUUAGACUAGAAUAGUAUUAGAAAGGAUAACAAUAACAUUAUACUAGGCCACCUAGCUGAUUGGGAAAUUAGGCGGCAGGAUAGGAAGCAUUCUGCAUGGUAACACGCAUAGUGGCAAAGCCAGGAUUACUUUUAAGUGGAGACACAAAUAAACUGCAAAUUCCUUUUGAUUCUUGAACAUUUACAAUUUUUCGGUUUGAACUAUUGAUAAGUGCAUAUUCUAUGUAUUUUUAGUGUGUUUUAUUAGUUAGUUUUGGCAUGUUUUAGCCACUUUUAUAGUUAAUUAACUAGGAUUUUAGUGAAAAUAUGCAUUUUGUGAUUUAAGUGGUAAAAAUAGCAUUUCUAUGGAUUUUAAUAGUGAAAACUUCAUGUUUUUGUAGAUUUAAUAAUGGCAUGAAUUGAGAAGAUAAUUAGAUGAUUGAUGAUAAUUUGAAGUUAUUUAAAGAAGACAUGUAGUGCAAAACGUUUAAAGGAGAAAUGCAAGUUAAGACAGUUUUGACACCUUAUGAUAUUUCAACCAUAUCUUGAGCUACAAACGUCAGAUUAAGGUGAUUCUUAUACCAUUUUGAAGCUAAGAGAAAUAUCUACAUUUAGUAUAAAGAAUCAAGUCCAUUGAGAUCGUUUUCCUAGCUGAAAAGUCAAAAUACAGAAGUGCAAUUUAAUGAUCGAAAGCUGAAACAAGGUAUUGACCAGUUGCCUGUAUUUUGGUCAUUUAUCAGUCCACAGAGCUCCAAAUUAGAUUAUUUUUGAUGCAUUGGAAAGCCAACUCAAAGGACUACUUUUAUGUUUUACAAAAGAGCUAGUCCAGCCUCUAACAUCAAGAAAAUAUCAGUUGAAAUUGGACCAAAAAUAGAGUAAAGAGGAAUUCUGCCCAGAAAAUGCAAACCUGCAAAGGAGAAAAUGUGGGGUUCGGUCGCGUUUUCGAGUCACGUAUUCUUCAUUUUCUGCUGCAACUUGCUUUGCAACUUAUUUUGCAUUCACACAACCUUUUCAACUCAUCUACAACUCAGAAUUUCGGCUGUAUCUGACCAAGAAGAGUGUGAAAAUUUGGAGAACAACUCUUGGUGAGUUCAAAAGCCAACUUUGCUAACCAAGAAACAGCUCAUCUUGAGCUUUAAUUCUCUAUAAAUAGCAGCCUUUAGAGAACAUUUUCACAACUUUGGAAGGCCAGAGAAACUCUACAAAGAUAUAGUCUUCACUAGAAUUUCUUUUAUUCAUUAGUUAGAGUAGUAUAGUAUAGUUAGUUUAGUUUUUCCUUUUUGUAUUUGUAGUUAGAUUUGGAUGAAAAUUUGAAGAGUAAAGAUGGAGAAUUAGAAUUCACGUGACAAGGGUAACUUCCGUCCUAUCACUUUUUUUUUGUAUUUGAUUUCAUGUUUAACUAUAAUAUAAGUUUGGUGUUUGUUUUCAUGUUUAGUUAAAGUUUAUGCCUAAAAUAUGGAUAAACUUUCUAUAUCUUAUUUGUGAUAUUUACUUGGUCAAUUAGUGAUAUUAUUUUAAACAAGUUAUUUAUCACUUUUGUUUUUCUAAUCAUGAUUAACCGGCCAUUAAUUGUGAUAAUGUUAAGGUGUUAAGUUUGCAAUGAGAAUUGAAAUUUAACACUAGUUCAAGAAAGUAAUAAACCUAGGGAGUACACUUGUGAAAGUAGAGAUAAGUGGUUUAAGUGACUUGUUUCUUGUAAUUUCAUAGAAGAAAUAAGUUUGUAGUUAAUUUCAUAACCACGAGAGUAGGUAUGGUUCAGCCGUAAGUAUAGUUGAUUCACUAUGAGAGUAGGUUUCACAUAUAUUAGAAAAUUACGCCAUAAUUAGUCAAAAUAAUAGCAUUCACUUAACCGGUAACUUCACUUGCAAGAAUAAUAAGGAAUUCCAUACCUCUAUGAGUUUUCUAUUGUAUUUUUUGUUAUUUUUACAGUGUAGAUUUAAUUUCUUGCACUUAUGAUAGUCUAAAUAAUAAAGGAAUUCGAAAAUCACUGAUAAAUGAAAAUCUUCCCUAUAGGUUCGAACCUUAAUACCCUAUACUGUGACGACUCCACUUCUCCUUAAGGCGAAUCCUAGGGUUUCGACGGGCCGCCUACCUAACUCUCACCAAGACUCGAUACAAGUCAAGAUUAUAAUUUAGACCUAAACAACCAAUAAGAAACUAAUAUAAAGAAAAGUCACUUCCUUCGAUAGUCAUCCAAUUGUACAUCAUAAUAUUUCCAAAAGUUACAUCAAAUUUUCCCAAAAAUACAACCACCAAAAGUUGACUAUAUCAUUUACAUCCACAAUUGGACCAAAAGAUAAUCAAAGCUAGAUUCUCCAAAAUCUUUCCACUUUAAAUUCCUGCUAAGGAAAACAAACUUAAAGGGGUGAGCUAACGCUAAGUGAGGCCAAGAAAAGCAGGCAGCAAACAGGUACAUCUAGCAAUAAUAACAUAUAAAUAAAAGGCAACCAAAAUAUUCAUGUAAAAUCACAAAAGGAAUUAAAAACACAAUCAAUGAAGGAUACGGAAACUCUCAGGAGCUAAAUCCACACUGCUUCAUCGAUAAUCUUGAUCCAUAAUUUUCAAGUUGACACUUCGUCAAUCGAGCAAGUAACAAGUCUAUAGAACCCCACUUUUCACCAAUUUCCGUCCACCGUUACACCCCCUAACCGGGCCCGAACGUCAAAAGUUUUGAUAUUACUCGAGUAUAUCGAGGCAAGUAGUGUAUGAGCCCAAGAUUCACCAAACUCCUCAACCAAGCCCUUGCUGGCUUGAGUUGAUUGGCUAGCCAUUGGGUUUGGGCGUCCCCACGAGUAUCAGUGGUCGAUGAGAUUGCUUUCAAAUCAACGUCAAGUCAAAUACAGGUAUAAUUAUCAAGUACAAGCAGAUCAAUUAUCAAGUCAAGUAAAAGAGAACGAGUGCGAUAAAAUACACACUCGUUUUGACAAGUCCAAUUCUCAUAUUCAAAAAGAAGUAGUUCAAGUAUUAUGCAACAAGUCAUGGUAUUAUGCAACAAGUCAUGCACUUGACACUCACCAGUUUCAAAAACAAGUGAGCAAGAAAUUCCUUUAAAGUUCGUCGCCGGAAUUCCUUUCGAAUCCCUUUUGAGUACCUGAAGAAAUAUUAACCAACCAACACUCACGGAUACCCUAGGUCAUCGAGCAUACAAAAAAGAAAGUUCGUUUGCCUAGAAUUAGGAUAAUGCAUCAAAAUGGGUUUAUUUCAUUGAAAACAGAGAUUCACAAAUGAAGGUUUAAAGUCACAAGUUCAAGUCAAGUUAAAGGUGCUUUUCUCGCUAAAUCAUUGAAAUAAUACUCAAAGAGAACUCAAAAGUCAUUUUUGAUUCAUGUCAUAGUAAGUAAAUUUCAAUUCCAAAAGAAAGUACCAUAUUUACUUUUGAAACGAAAAUCGAGAAAAAGAUAGAUGGUUUUCAUUCCUCAAAACUUCUAAUCUCAUGCCCGAACUUUAAAAUAUAAAGAAGUUCACAUUUUCAAACUAAUGGAGUCAAAACUCGUCCAAAACUCUACUCAUUUCAUCGUAAAUGUCAAAGCCAAAGGUUCCAAGUUUUGAGUAGAAAACUAGUUAAAAUUCUCUAAGAUUUUCUCUAGUUAAAACGCUCCACUUUUAAAGUUAAAUGUCAUGGAAAUGAAGGGUAUAAGCCUAGGGAUUGAAAUCCAUAACUCAAGUAUAAAAAGAGGUGCCAUUAACCAAGGAAGUUAAACAACCAAGUAAACACAUUAAGAGAGGUUUAAUCCUUUAGAAACCAAGAUUUAAAAUCAAGGUUUAAAGCUCAAAAAAACCUUGUAUCCGACCAUGAAAUUAACUUAAAACAGGCCAACAAUCACAAAGAAAGGUUGGAAGUGCUUAAAAGAGUACUUUGUAUGAAACCAGAAAUUUCCAGUUUAGUGUGACACUACUUGGAAAAAUCAUAUCUCAAGCUCUGUAAGUCCAAAAGUUGGAAAGUUUAUAUUGUUGGAAACUAGACUCAAGGCACUGAGGGUGGUGAAUAGUCUGCGGGGUCCACUCCCUGCGGGAUACACCUAAAAAAAAAAAAAAAAAAAAAAAAGGCACUAAAACUCUCUAGAAGAUACUUUUCUUAGACUCCAAUCUGAAUUCACUCAAAUUUUAGCUCAAAAUCACUGUUCCAGACAAGACAGGGCAAAAUAGGCUUGCAAUUUCAGUAAAGUUUUGAAAUUCGGUAAAAUUCGUAGGAAUGGAAUCAACCCUUUGAAAUUUAUACUGCUAAUAGAAUUUGAAAUUUAAUUUCAAAUGCAAUAAAUGGAACCCAAUUUGGACCUUUCUACAUCAAGAUACAAUGGUUUUAAGAAAGCUGAAUUUUGGAACCUAUUACACGAAAUUUCCAGUUUUGAAGGCUUGACAGAGUUUAAAAAUCUGAUCAUAACUAGAGCUACACAACUCAAAAUUUAGUGUUUUUGUGGCAUUGAAAACUAGAUUCAAAAUACUACAAAUUACUAGAAGGAACUGUCUUAAAAUUCGUUUUGCAAGAUAGGUAAAAUUGAGCUACAAACUGCAGCUAGGACUGUUUCUCGGAUGAAAGCAGUGAAGAAAUUCAGUCAUCUUUGCCGGUUCACUAUGGCUCAUAGAAAAUGAAUUUGGAGGUGCAUUUUAUACCAAUGGAAAGCUCUCGGAGUCUAGUUUUGGUUGCCACAAAUGGCACUCAAUUUCAACUCCCAAACAAAAAGUUAUGAUCCAAAACGUGAACACUAAUCGGUGCUUCUGGUCAGAAAAUUUCCAGAUUUCUUCCUCACUUAAACCUUACUUUAACUCAACCAAUUGUACAGCUUUUUGGGAGAUUUUUAACACACAUAAACACCAUCAUAGAACAAACAUUAUAGCACCAAAAUAACAUCAAAAUUCGAAAUUAAUCUGAGGGUUUCAUCAAGCCAAAUUUCGGACAGCAAGCAUCCUUCAUCUUCUAGUUUUCUUUUCCAACUUUCCAACUAAAACUAAGCCAUAUCUUCUAAAAAUAAGCAUCAAACAAGCAAGUAAAUAUACAAAAUCUGAAAGCCCCGAUGCAACCAAAUACAACCAAAAUACUCAACCAGACAAGUAGUCAAGUAAAUACAAUGACAAAGAAUAUAAGCAAUUUUAAAGCACAAAAAUAAAGUAACAAUAAAGUAAAAGAAAUUCAAACCAAUCAAACUCCCAAGCUUCUUCCAACCUUGGAGUUGAAUCCACCAACUUCCUUUUCAAAUUAUUUUUGCAAUCAAAAACACCUUUUUGAUUUUUUAAAUCAUCAUUUUCCAUUCUCAAACAUUUGUUUUCUUGAAAAAGUUUGGAGUUUUCUUCCAACAAAUCAUUUAUUUUUGUUUUCAAAUCUUUAUUUUUAGCAUAAGAUUCUCUCAAACUUUUAUGCAUUUUAAUCAUAAGAAUUUGCACAUCAUCAUCUUCAUUAUCUUCAUCACUAGAAGAGUGAUAAGAAUUUACCUCAUCUUCUCCAAAGGCCAUUAGUGCCAUUUUGGCCAACUCUUCUUUUUCUCUUUUUGAAUUGCAUUCAUCCCAUGUAAUUUUGCAAUCUCCUCUUGAACUUCUCUUGUUGAAGAUCUUCUUGAAACUUUUGAUGUGAGGAGUUAUAUCAUUGUCCACUUCCAUGUUUUCAUUACCCAUGAAGGAUGGGUUAUCCCCCACUUGAGAUGCUUUAAAAGCUAUGCCUCUCUUAUACAUUCUUGCAUUUUCUUCCUCUUGCACUUUGAAUUUCAGCUUUAAUUCAUAAGAGGUUAGGGAAUUCACAAGAGAUUCAAUGGACAUAGAAUUUAAAUCCUUUGCCUCUUCUAUAGCAUUUAUUUUGUUUUCCCAUUCUUUUGGCAAGGCAUUCAAAAUCUUUCUAUUUUUCUCACCCAAAGAAUAUUCUUUUCCAAGCAAUUUAAGAUCUUGAAUAAUGUCACAAAAUCUACUACACAUCUUAUCAACAUUUUCAAGAUGAUGCAUUUUGAAAAAUUCAUAUUGAGAAACAAGCAAAGAUUUCUUUUGUUCUUUAAUAUCUUGGUUACCUUCAUGAAAUUCACACAAUUUAUCCCAAAUAUCUUUAGCUGAUUUACAACCUUUAAUCCUACUAGAUUCAUUUACAUCUAAUGCAUUGUACAAUAUAUACAUGACCUUGGCAUUCAAAGAAAGGUAUCUCUUGUCUUUUUCAUUCAAUUCUUGUCUAGUUUUUAAUCUACUCAAAUUAGUGGUAGAGUCAACUAUUCUAGCUUCAUAAGGACCAUCUUCUACCACAUACCAUAAUUCAAUAUAAACGGAUUGUAAGAAAAUCAUCAUUCUUUGUUUCCACAUGCUAAAAUGAGAACCAUUAAAUAUAGGUGGUCUAUCAAUAGAUUGCCCUUCUAAAAAGGAAACUUUUAUGGUUGCCAUGAUCUUUACUCUAAGCGGUUAAGCUUAAUCUCUAGGAGACCAAGCUCUGAUACCAAUUGUAAGCCCCGAUGCAACCAAAUACAACCAAAAUACUCAACCAGACAAGUAGUCAAGUAAAUACAAUGACAAAGAAUAUAAGCAAUUUUAAAGCACAAAAAUAGAGUAACAAUAAAGUAAAAGAAAUUCAAACCAAUCAAACUCCCAAGCUUCUUCCAACCUUGGAGUUGAAUCCACCAAAUAGUUUCUUCAAUUGAUGGUAGUGCUAACCAACUUGUACAAGCGUCCGAUCCUCUACGUCCGAACCUUCAUAUUUCUUAACUUCUCUUUGAUUCAAAUCUUUUCGAUUCUCUUUUGGAUCAAUGACCUGUUCUAACAAAUUUCUCACAUAAAAACAUUAGUCCAAAUCUACAUUUUGGUUUGUUAAUCAUCAAAACCAAGGACUAAUCAACCAAGGUCAACAAAAUCCUCAAGGCCUCUACCUAUAAAGUCACCUCAAGUCUUCUACCUAAUGUCAAGGUUCUUGUGAACCCAUCAACAACCCAACCACUAACUAGCUAGACUAACUAAUCUAUCCAUAAUUGAAGGAAAAGAUGAGAGCUUUAGGAAUUUUACCUUUCUUCCAAGAAUGAAGAACAACCACUAGUAUAAGCUCUUGAAUCACCAAAGUUUCUACCUUGUUCAAAUCACCUUCCUAGCUUAUAUGAAGAACCAAGGAAAGAAGCAAGUGUGGAGAGUUUUCGUGGAGCAACAAUGGAAGAAGCUAGCUGAAUUUUUUGGGGAGGAAAUGGGGGAGGGGAGUCUGCCAAGGUGAGGAGAAGAAGAGAAGGGUUUUGGGUGGUAGUUGGUGAUUUCAUUGAAUGACAAGAAUAAUGACAUAAAGGUGUUCUUGACCCAAAAGUCAACAAUCGUUUAGUGAGCAAUUAGUGCUCCUAAUUGAGUUUAAUUUAACUCACUCACCUCUAAUCUCUCAAUUAAUUUUUCUUAGUUUACUAUUGAUCAUCCUUAAUUCUCCAAGAUUAAUGUACUCUCGGUCCGAAUUUGCCUCAAAAAACGUGCAUUCGCUAUUUCUCACUAAACAAGCCAAAGAAAAAUUAAAUUCGCUAACGAAACUUUUUAAAAAUAUAAAUGAGACAUUGUUCCAUGUAAAUGGAUUUAAAAUGGAUGAAAUAAAUUAUUUGGAGUAAAUGGGUAAAUAAAUAAUUAAAUAAGCCAGUAAAAUAAAAAUAAAAGUAAGUAAAAUAAAAAUUCGGGUCCUCACAUAUACUCAAUCGCGACUCGUACACUUGGAAAAAAUCGCGUGUGGGGUAUUUAGAAUUUAUAAAUGUAAAAUUUGACUGUAGAAUGAGUUUAUUGUUAUAUGUGUACCCCGCGCUGGUCAACUAUGAAUCAACCAAUAAUUCUUUUAGAGCAAUGGAAUAACUGUAAUAAGCAUGUUCACCCUAGAGGUUUUAUUAUCUUUUUUUUCCCCAAAGAUUGCAAAUGGCAAAGAUUUUUUUUCUUCGAAAGUACUUGAUUUAAAUGAAUAUCUUACUUGAAGCAAUGGGCUAAUAAAGAGACGUGUACAUUAUUUGACAUGAAAUUAUAUAGUUACAGGACAUUUUACUACAUCGUGCUCCCACUAACAAAUUGAUUAUGGUGUGGAAGAAAGAAUUUAUCAUACAUAUACUUCAUUGCUAGAAAUCUGAAAAUUUUAUUAGAUGGAAGAUGGUGCAUCUCCAACAAUUGUCGAAGAAGAAAAGAUGGUAGAGAAGAUUUCCAUAUACGUCUGAUGUAGAACAAGCAUUCCCGGCGAAUAAUUGAGCAGCCACUUUUGGAUCCCUAGGAUGUCCAAUUGGCCUCACAAGUCCCAAGUAAUAAAAUUCUAUAGAUUAACAAAGAUACCAUCUACCAGAAGUCCAAUUGGCUGAUAUUUUUAAGCAUAUGUUGAUGAUGUAUGUGUGUUAAUUACAAAGAUACUGCACGAUUUUAUUUUUAUUUUUGCUUUUUUAGCAGGGAAUUUUUUUUUUUAAUUUCUUUUCUAACAGGGGAGGGGUAGGAUUCAAAAAGCAGAAAGGAGGAAGGGAGGUUAGAAUCCAGGACCUCUAAUUUCUAAGUGCCUCAAUUUUAGUCACUAAACCUUGGUGGAUUUAUGUAAUGCAUUAGUAGGAAUUUGUUUUAGAACUUUUUCCUUGAAAUCAAGUUGCUUCUGCCGUGCAUUAUGUGCUAGUGUGUUAGCAAAGAUAACUUAAUAUAUUAUUAUAUAAAAAAAAAGAUAACUUAAUAUAUAUUUUUUAAUCUUUCUAUCUCUCCUUACACUCUUUCCAUCUCUAAUCGUCAGGUAUCAAAAUCAAAUCAUUUUACCAUCACAUCCCUCCCCACACUCUUUUCACCACAACUAUCAAAUAUAAACUUCGAACCUCGAACCUCACAGAGAGAACUCUAAAAAUUUAGCUUUUUUAUUUUUGUACCUCUUUUUGUUUCCUGUUUUCACAAGAUUGUUCUAUGAUUGAGGGUAUUUAUGGUAACAGACAGGUACUAUAUUUUGGCGGAUGGCUGAUUGCCCUACUUGUAAUAAAACAACUUAAAAGAGGAACAGAAAUCAAGAUGCUAAUUUUUGCCCACUGGACAACAUUGAGAUUUCCAUUUUGCAAAUUUAAAAGAAUUAGCAUUUUUUAGUAUCCGUUAGCACAUUUAAGGUAGACCUAACAUAUGACGUCAAUACACACAAUUACAAUUAGGGUUAAUUUCACAUACCUCCCCGAAAGUUUUUGACAAUUGCAGAAAGCUCCCCUCGAGUUCUAAAAAUUACACCUACCUCCCAUAUUUUCACUACUUAAGUAACAUUUUAACCCCAAAAGGCUAUACUUUUUCUCAAAAUUCCUAUAAUGCCCUUGAGUUACAAUUCACAAUAAAAAUGUAAAGGAAAAAAAUGGUUCACAGUCUCUAUUUCGUUUAUCUUUACUUGCUAUCACUAUUACCUACCCAUCAAUAUCCAAAUCACUAUUAAAUAAAUACUUAUCUUUGUUUUAAUGUUUCUCUUUUACCUAAAAAUUUAUAAUGUAGACAAUUGUAUCAACUAUAAACGCUAUAUCAGAUACCCAAAAACUUAUCUACCAUCUCAUGUCAAUAUCAGAUUUUACUCAAUACACAACAAUAUUCAUCAAUAUCCCUAAAUUUCAAUUCUAUGGCUGUCACCUUUUUAAUACAAAAUAAUUUAACUCAUCACUACUAAUGUCAAUAUCCAAUAUAUUCCAUUAGCACGGAGCUCAAAAUCAAUCAAAUUCUCUUUAUAGGAAUAAUAUCAAUAAUUGUAAAUCAAAAAUAGAAAUACAAUGUAGUUAUAAAUAUAUACCAAGAACAUUUUUUUUUCAUGACAACCAUAACAGCAUAACCUAUAUUUAGUUUCUAUCCCACUUCCUAUCCUUAAUUUUUAUUUUUUUUUAUUACUGUAACUAUCUUCAUCUCUAUCUAGUUUGAUAAUGAAAUUUGCACUCAAUUUGUCAUUUGACAAUUGCAAUUUGCUAAUGCCUAUCAAAAAUUGGAAACAAAAAUGGGCCCAAAGAAACUAUUUAAUAAUAAUGAAAAAUCGAGAAUUGGGAAUAGAUACCAAAAUAUGCAAGUAUUGGUGGUUUGUGUGUACGGUGAUUUUAUUAGUAACGAUAGUACAUAUUUGGUUAAUAAUAAUAAAUAAAUAAGUUUGAAAGGAAAAUAGAUAUAGGAGGAAGAGCAUAGAUAGUUAAAUAGGAAAGACUGUAGUUUGAAUUAUUGGUUGAUAAUAGAUGAGAGAACUUUAAUAUUUGAUAGAGUUUUUCAAUGAUUUGACAAUUAAUGAAAGGCAUUUUUGUCAUUUUAUUACACUAAGGGAGGUCUCCGUAAUUAUGUACAUCUCAAGAGAGCCAAGUGAAAUUGUUAAAAACCUCAGGGGAGGUUUCUGAAAUUAUCCCUUACAAUUAUUGCACUCCUAUAUUAAUAUGCUUUCUUAAAUUAGCUACACUUUUUUAACAAAACUAAUAUCUCCGCUCUUAUUCAGUGCCUUGUGCUCGUAUUUGAAAUCGUGGAACCUGCUUGUAUGAAUUUUUACAAUGUCAAUGUAUAAUAAAUUAAUCAUAAUUAAAAUGCUAUAGUUCAAGGAACAAAGUAGAUUUUUUUCCCUUUUUUCGUAAGUGGGAGGUUUUGAAUUCAAGAUCUUCUACUUUACAAUUUUUCCUACCUCACUGGUCGACCCAGACACCUCCCCCCCCCCAACCAACACCACCACCACCAAAACCCCAACAAGGAACAAAGUAGUUUAUUCUGAAUAACAAGAACUAUAAAGGGUUUUUGGUCAAAUUUAAUACUAGAACAAGUUUAAAAGCCAAUGGCUUGGAGUAAUUUUAAAUUCAAUCUUAUAAACGGUUGCCCAAAACACAUGGGAUAAAACCCGUAUAAUAAGAUACUUGAUCAUUAAUCCUGGAAUCUACCAAAAUUUAAUUCAAGCAAAACUUCUACAACUUAUAUUUAAAUGCCAAUAAAAUCUGAUAUAGAAUACUUCAAAUCAAUUGCAAUAUCCAAUGCAUGAAAUCAAUGAAUUAAGCCUAAUUUGCUGGAUCCCACAAUGGCAGCCGGUGGCGAAUCAGGAUGACGGUAGCAGCAUCGAUGGGUAUUGGGCUGCAAACAGGGGGCACAUGAGAUAUUACGUCGACCGUGAUUUUCAUAGUUGCAUUGGUUGAUGCAGUCGAGUCCGUCAUUGCUUCCCUAAAAAAAAAAAAAAAAAAAUCUGUUAUUGCAUGUUCCCACGUAUGUGGGAUUGCUGCUCUCUUCUGCUUUGCUGUCUGCAUCAACCACAAUACGAACUUUUUAAUAGGGUUGAUUAUACGUUAUACAAAUAAUAAUGUCAAAUUUUCAUAUGAAUAAACAGGUACAAAAAAAGAAAUACUGGCCUUGUUUGGAUCACAGUUUUCUAAAAAAAAAAAUUUAUAUUUUUAUAAACAUAUUUUUUAAUCACUUUUUUACUUCACAUAUAUCAAAUUAUUACAUUAUUUUUUUUUAAUAAAAGCUCUUAUAAUUAGCCAAUCCAAACAGGAGCUAAGGAUCUUGAUUCUUUUGGAGCUGCUAUUAGGUUUAUGCUCCGGUGCAAAUCUAACCAAACUUGAGAUUUCUGCUUAACUAUUUUCUUUCUUUCUUUCUUCAUUAUUUUCUACUUAACUAUUUGAUAAAAAUUCAAUAACUUCAUUUUCUCAUUAUUUUCUUAUUAUUUUCUUUCUUCCUUCAUUAUUUUCUACUUAACUAUUUGACAAAAAUCCAAUAAUUUCAUUUUCGUAGUUCUAGGCCUUGUUUCAUUUGAUAUCAUUUGCUGUCGACAAAGCUAUUUGAAGUAUGAAGCUCAUAAUAAUCUUUCCAGUCUACACAUUCAUUUUUUUUUCUAAGUUACUAUUUAUCUUGCUUCCACUAGCUAUGUAAUUUAAUCAUGAACUUGUAACCUUGCACACUUCAAAUGUUUUUGCAGGCUUGAAUGGAUGAAUUCACAUGGUUCAUCACAUGGUUCAGUCGAACACUUAUCAGCAACUAGUCAUGUUGUCAAUUGCCUGGCCCGCCUGAAUAAAGAAAUAGGAAGCCUAUGCAUAGACACCAAAGAUGACUUCCAAGUGCAAAUGUCUGAUGACAAGAAUGGAAAAUUGCUUGUGUUUUGCUCAUUAGACAAUGUAUUCUUUUUUAUUAUUUUCCAUAAAGUGAAAUUUUCCAAAAGUUGGUUUUAAUAAGCAUAUUGAUAUUAUAUUAAUAAGCAUAUAGCUAUUUCAUGCAAGAAAUCAUGGGUAUAGUUAGAGGUGGCAAUAUGGAUAAAUGGUUCAUAAUUGGUUUUGACUUAAUGGAUGGUGGAUGAAAUUCAUCCAUUAAAUAAAAACCAAUUAUCCAUUUAAAUAUUUUGGUAACUUUUUUUUUUUGGGUCAUAUCCUCGGUAUGCAGUAGCCACUUUGGACCCUGACUAAUCCGGAGUUGAGCCAGGUUGCACCCCAUAAGAGGCGCAAGCUCUCCCAGCACCUGUCUCUCCAUUCACAAGACUUGAACCUGAAACCUUGCUUAAGGGGAGCCAAGCGCCUUGCCAGUCAAACCAAGUACAGCACUUGGCCUAACAGCAAGGGUGGUCCCUCUCGUUUCUUAACAUCAGAUGAAACUUUCAUCAUGAAAGCAUUUCCUUAAAUGCAUGCCACAAUAGCACAAGACAGAAACAUGGUUUUUAAGUAAAUGGAUAUGUUUGGUUUUUGUGGAUAAUCCAUAUAAAUCCAUUUAAUUAAUGGUUUUACUGUGGUCAACCAUUUAAAACCAAUACUAUAAAUGAAUAAUCCAAAUCCAUUUAAUUAUGGAUUAUAUGGAUGGAUAAAUGGAUCUCAAUCCAAAUUGCCACAUCUAGGUAUAGUUAUCAUUCACCUUCUAUUGAUUUAUCUUACCAAGAAUUUAAAUUAAGGUUAUUAUUUAUCAGAAAUAAAUGUUCUUAGAAUGUUUGUUGUGAAUAAGCAUGUUCAUGAUAUAUAUAUAUAUAUAUAAGCCACUUAUGGAUAUAGCAUGUUUGCUAUAUAUUACUAAAAUUUCUGCAUCACACAGUGAAAUUAGUCCUUUGGCUUAUAUCUGAUUCAUGUCGAUUUUCAGUGUAUGGAUAAUAGAAGAAUUUGAGUUUUGGAGAAGUAAUACGUAAAUGGCUACCACCCAUGGGACCUCAUUGGGAUCAAUCAUCAUGUAUCCAGAUAAAGCUAACAUCCCAAGAGGUGAGAAGUCAAAUUGAUUUGAAUUAUGAACACAAUGUUGUCAUUCCGUUUUUUUUUUUUUUUAAACAAAAACUGAUAGCUGACCUUUCCACUAUCAAGUAAUAUGUUUGGAGCUCUCUCCUGGUAUAUACAUGCUUACCUAUUCGAAGGAGGGAAGGUUAUUUUAAGGCAAGUCCAGUGGCGCAGCUGGAUUUAUGCUUAAUACUAAGGAGAAGUUUGAACAUUUUCACCAAUUAUCCGCAAAGGGUGUGCAAUUUUGCAUUAGGAUUUUGAAUAUUUUCGCUUUUUUAUUAUUUAUUGUCACUCGAGAACACUUUCACUUGUUAUCCUCAAAAGGCAUGCUUGAUUUUUUUUUUAUUUUUAUAAAAGGAAGAGCAUUGGAAAGAAAAUAAAAGGAGAGAGAAAAAAGGAACAAAGAAAAUUGGCAUUUUGAAUAGUUCUUUCCGAAAAUUUUUUGUAUCCUUUAAGGAGUAAACUUUAUCAGCUACUUAUGGUCACGUGUUUUUUACUGUGCAUAUUUUUCUUGUGUGUGUGGGCACACCAGUAUAUAUGAUGUAUUAGAUUAAAGAGGAAAUAUAGUGGUUAAGGUUGAGAUUUCAGAAUUUAAAAGUUCUGGAAUCUAAUCCUCCUUUCCAAUUCCCAUCUUUUAAAUUCCAUUCCUUUCCUGCUAGAGAUAAUUUUUUUUAAAAAAAGAAAGACAUAACAAAAAUGUGUUCAUAUGGCUCAUUUCGCCUUUUCCAUUCCGUAUUUCCAGCAUUUUAAGGAAUUCACGGCAGAUCAUAUCUUCAAAUUUAUUUUGUUUAGAUUAAGAAAGAAAGUUUUCUCUGCAUUUUCUUCCAUGAACAGGGAACAAAAAUUGUACUUCAACAACCACAAAAAGUAAGACACAUUUGAAGCUCCAAAAGAAGUUGGAAAGAGCUCUGUUUAGAAUGAGAUAAUUGAUUUCCGUCAGUGACAGAUGCCGACUUCACUCGAAAAGCGACGUAAAGAAUCAUGUGGCCAGUAUUUCAUUGGAUUUGCAGGCUAAUCCAGCAGCCUUUACAGUGAAGUUACAUGUAUGUAUCUCAUAUUUCUGUAAUUAUUUAUUAAAGUGAAAUGUCUAUAUUAUUUAUUUUAGGGUUAAAUGCAAAAAAUCCCUACAAACUAUAUACCGAGUUGCAGUUUACCCCCUAAAUUAUAAUAAUAGGCAUUUUGUCCCCUUCAAUGAUGUGUUUGGACAAAUCUACCCCUUUUAUUUUAAGCAUUGUUAUUUUUCUUUUUACCCUUCCAUUUUCUUUUUAAAUUCUUUCUUAUUUUUCUUUAAACAUUGUUUGAAUAAGUAGACUAGAUUAGUCAAAAUUUGUUUAUUUCUUAAUUUUGUAUGUCAAUAUUUUAUAAAAAAAAAUCUAUGGAAUACAAGAUUUUUUUUCCAAAUGUUGAAGUCAAUGUCAUUUAAGAAAUUGAACUUUUCAAAUAUAUAAUAACAAAAUAGAGAAAUUGAUUAAUCAAUUAUUAGUAGUAUCAACAACAGAAAAGAUGAACUACUAUUGUUGUUUAUUCUUAUUUUUUAUUUCACUACAAAUAACAAUUGCUAACUUUUCUUUUUUAUGUGAUAUAUACUAUGUUACUUUUGUUAUAAGUAGUUGAGUAACUGUGAACUCUUAAUUAGUUUAUAGGUACUUCAAUUGUUGAAUUACUAGAUUAAUACACUUUACAAUGUAAGCUACAUAUAUUUUGUAAUAACAAAGAGUUUAUGACAAAUUAUUAAGAAUGAAUUUAACAAAUAAACAAAUUAAAAAAGCAGUUUAAAAAAUAUUAAAAUUUUUGAUGUUAGUCUUUUCACAUUGGAGAGAGAUGUUGACUAGUUCCAAGAGAGAAGGAGUUUAUGACAAAUUAUUAAGAAUGAAUUUAACAAAUAAACAAAUUAAAAAAGCAGUUUAAAAAAUAUUAAAAUGUUUGAUGUAAGUCUUUUCACAUCGGAGAGAGAUGUUGACUAGUUCCAAGAGAGAAGGAGAACAAAAAGAAAAUAAAAGGAAAAAAAUGGAAAAAGCUAACAGAGAAAAAAAAGAAGAAAGGGUUUAAGAUAGAGGGAUAGCAUUGUCCAAACAUAUCAUUCAAGGGGACAAAAUGCCUAUUAUUAUAGUUUAAGGAGUAAACUGCAACUGGGUAUAUAAUUUAUGGGGAUUUUUUGCAUUUAUUUUAAACAUAUAUACUAAUUAGUUUUUAUUUUUUUGAGUUCGAUUAAGUUCAAACUUGAGCUUGAACUCAAGUACAAGUUUUGCAGAAUUUUACAUAGAAAGUUCAUUAAAUUCGAAGAUAAAAUUAGAUCGAAUUCGAUUUGAUUGGAUCAAAACUGAACUUGAGCCGUCCCAUUUGCUGCCAUUAUAACUGUCAGAUAUGACAUGUACUCAACUGGGCACGUAGAAAGCUUUUUUGUUUGAAGAAACGGAUAUGAAAAGUUACAUAAAAGAACUAGUACAAAUACAGCAGUCAAAUAGUACAAAUACAUCAGGGAAUAAAUCCAAAGAAUGAUAAAAUUCUAGCAGAGGGACAGUGAGAGAGUUUGUAUCGAUGGAAACUUGAUAGCGAUCGUCAAUUAAUAAUAAUAUUCACACUUGAGGAGAAAUGUCGUAGUGAGUAGCAGCCAUGCCAUUGGGUAGUUAGGCUUUAAUAGGCUCUUGCUCUUAUUGGAUGAUUUCUCCAUCUUUGAUGUCCUUUGCCUCCUUGGACUUAAAUUACUUUUUCUGAAACCACUAUCGGUCCAUCCUUUAGAUAAUGAGUGUAUGGUUGGGAAUAUUUGGAUUGAGUUAACUUUAGGCCUUCCUUAUCUAACACAGGGGUAUCUGGGGGUAGCGGUCUGGGACUGGAUACCUGACACCGCCAUUAACCCCAACUAAUCCCACUGCGCCUGAGAGAGCGGGCCCCACCGAAUCAUCAGGAAUUUACCCCGGCUGCCCGAGCUCGGAAUCGAACCCAGGCCCUUCUCACUCAAUGGAGCUACAAGGACCGCCCGAGCAAACCGUGGGGGGCCCUUCCUUUCUAUUAUCAACACUUCAUCUCACGCCCCACCAUGUUAGGUCACUCUGAGGUGUGUCUUAAUUUCUUAAGAUUGUUUGACAAAAAAUAAAAAAAUAAAAAAAGUGUUGUUUCAUGAAGUAAUUAAACUUUUUUGUUUUAACUUGAAAUUUUGGAAGAAGAAAAGUUUUUUCUCUCGAACAUAUAUGGGGCAAUUCUCAUGAUGUUUAAAUAUGAAGGAAACUAAACCAAAUUUUCAAAGGUGUUACGAAAAUCAACUGGAAAGAAAAAGAAAAGGAACAGUGCAGUGGAUAUAAUAAAUGCAACCUACAUUUAAGAGUGACAAAUAACUAAUUAAUCUCCUUACUCAAUAGCAACUCAACUCAAGACAAUCUCAACCAAAAGAGGGGUACAAGAUUAGUAUAAGAUUAUCAUACAGAGAAGAGAUUAGUAUAAAAUUACAUCUCCUAAAUAUGUCAAUCUAUCCAAUCCCUACAAAAAUUUUUCAAAAAAAUCGAUGCUUAGUUUAAAACUUUAAAUGUUUUUCAUCUUGUCAAUGUUCCUUAAUAAUAUGGCACAGCAACAAUAUUUUACAUAUUCUACGGGCACAUUUUCAACCAUCAAGGAUUUAUCGUAGCGCUUGCAUCAAUCAAAACCACACUAUACUAUACAUUUGACUGUACUAUAAGAAACAAAAAAAAAGACAGAGAGAUAAAGAAGAACGACACAGCAUACCAGACUCUUGAGUCCUCUGAAAUGAAUAUCUUAGGUUCAAGCCUCAAGGUUGGUUUGUUGAUUAAAAAACCUUACCGUCCAGUGGGAUUCAGAAUCUCAGAGAAAACACUGUCACACCUUGAAGUUGUCACUGCUUGCCGUGGAUGUCCAAGUUGUAAUACCACCAUCUCAAUCUUGCCAGCAGAAUCUUGAUCGCCUUCUGAUUCAGAAAUCACAUCUGUAUCAUCAUCGGUCAUAUUUUGCACAUCUCCUCCAUGCAUAUGCAAGGGAAAUGGAUCAGGUCGACCACCCUCAUUUUCAGCUGCCUCCUGGACUUGCAAUGCAAAUUCAAGGCCACCAACUACAUCAUCCAUUCCCGGUCGUUGAAUCCCUUGAUCGUUCAAACAAUUAAUGGCCGUUUCAGCAAAAAUCCUCAAACAUUGGGGAGCAAUCUCGCCCUUUACAUCUGGGUCCACAAGUCGAUGGAUAAUCCGUUUUGUGUAACACUUCUUGGCCCAUUCAGCCAAAUUCACCUGCUCCUGGGGUAAGUCUAGAAUAAUAGGUGCCCGACCACACAAAACUUCAAACAAAACCACCCCGAAUGAGUAUACAUCAGACUUGUCCGUCAAUUGCUGUCUCGUGUAGUACUCCGGAUCUAUGUAGCCGAAACUCCCCUUGACCUGCGUGCUGAUAUGGCUGUAAAUCCCACUCGGACCGAGUUUGGAUAAUCCAAAAUCCGAAACUUUGGCCACCCAUGUCUCGUCCAAUAAUAUGUUGGUUGACUUGACAUCGCGGUGAAUGAUAGUGUGCUUGGUGCCCGUGUGGAGAUAAUCCAACCCUUUGGCGGCGCCAAUGCAGAUUUGAAGGCGUUGUUUCCAUGGGAGCGGUGGAUUGUCUGUUCUAUAGAGAUGAUCGCGGAGGGUCCCAUUAGCCAUAAAAUCGUAAACCAAGAUCAUCUCACCCUUUUCAUCACAGUAGCCUAUCAAAGAAACCAAAUGAAGAUGUCUUAAAUUUGAUAGCAACUCGAUCUCGGUUUGGAAUUCGCGGGCACCCUGUCUUGAUGAAGGAUUUAAUCGCUUUAUCGCAACCGUGGUUAGAUUGUUGUCUAUGUACCCUUUGUACACGUUUCCAAAUCCCCCGGUCCCAACCACAAACUUGGCAUCGAAGUUGGCAGUAGCGGAUCUAAUCUCUUCCAACAAAAAUCUCCUAAGCGACGAUGAACCUGAAGCUCCAGUCUUUGUUGACCUUGGUGGGGUUGAAAGUGGGGUGCAAGAUGACUUUGGAGCACUUUUCUGGUCCAAGUCUUUUACCCUUCUCUUCCAUCGCCACCGGAAAAUUAAGAAACCAAGGAUUAAAAUCACUUAAACCCCUCCUGCCGCCCCUCCUCCAAUGGCAGCAAACAGUACCCGAGGUUUUCCGGGACUCCCCUUAAUCGGUGACUUCUUGUUUGAUGCCAGAGAAUUGGGAUCCUUCGAUAGAUUUGGAUUGGUCCCGCCAAGACUGCCGUCGGAGGUAUUCAAUUUGAACAAUUCUAAGCCAUUCAAGAUUGCAUCGGCAUAUUUUGGUUUGACGUCAAGAUUUGGGUGCAGAGCAAGAAACAAGUCUUGCUUGGUCCAGUGACUCUCUGGUGGCUUUGGAACGAACAAGAGGUAAUCUCUGAAAAUCGGGAUUCCUGGGCCGCCUGCCCAAUGUAUAAUAUCAGCUUCUAGCUCAGCUGUUCUGUUACUGAUAAAUAUUUUGAACACCCGUUGGUUAUCCUGUGUAAUCAAAUCGGGAUCAAUCUCACAAAAAUGCAACCUCAUGAGAUAAUAAAACCCAGAAUCAACAGGAAACAUCCAGCUCAAGUUGAAGCGGGUGCUGAACUCUCCCAUCGCCCUGGCAGUAGAAUAAACAACUGGGGGGGCGGUGUAAUUUGGGGUCUGUGGAGUGUACUUGAUGGCAAUUUCAUUAUUGCUCAGUGGAUUUCCUAGAUCUGCGCCCCAGAGGAAUUCGUCAUCCGGAGCCCAUUCGCGAAACAUCCCACCAUCGUCCACCACAGAAACAACACUACCUCCUACGUUGAGCCUGUAAAGAGUUUCAAAGGCACUCUUAUCCUGAUCAAACCCGAACUGGACAUUUGCGAAUUUGAGGGGAUUGCUGUACAUAUCAUGGUUGCCCAUGUAGAUAUCGUCCUGGGUUGAAACAACUUCAAAUUCCAUUAAGGAAAGCGUAGGAAUUUGAUAAGGGAAAAAAGGUAACAUUAAGGAGUUGAUUCAUAUCCUGAACAUUGAUGAUAUAUUCUUUUUUAACAACAGAGGCCGGUGAGAAUCCCUUGGUAGAAACUGUGAGAUAUGGGCUAAAGUUGCUGAGAAGGGUGUAGCUAUUAGCUGUGACAGUGAAGAAAGAUUCAGCCGGGUUGAGGCCGCUAGAGUUUGAGACAGCGUGGAAGUAAAGGCGGAGGAACUUCCUGCCAAGGCUGACAGGGAAGAUGUAAGAGAAUUGAGAACGGAUGAUUCGGGCACUUGAAAAAGGGACUUCGCUGACUGAGGAGUUGAAUUCAGUAGCUGUGACUGCUAUUGAAAUAUUUGCCAUGUCGUUCGGUGAGAAUUUUGAGCCCACGUCGCCGUCCCAUUUCCGGCCAUCGACUGAGGUUGAAUUCAAGGAUGAGCCGCAGUUGAUCAGGAUAUAAUCUGUGGGGGUGUAAGACGGAGUGCUGUCCGUGGAAGCGAUGACGAACAACGAAUUGAAGAGAAAGCAGAGGUAUACAAGAAAAGUGAACAUUGGAGCAAAGACUUGAAGGGAAAAAAUAAACAAGAAAAGGUAUAUUUUUUCGGCUCAAAUGCUAACUCAAUUUUCUGAUGGAAAAAUUGGUCGUUUUUCCAUUGACGCGUAGGAUUAGGAUUUCGCCAUUUGUCUUUAAGAAAUGUUGUGGAAUUUAAAAUCCCCAAUUCAGGUGAAGAAGGAAACGUUAGUAGAUGGCAGUCUAUCGUGGCCUUGUUAAGUUGGAAAAGUCAAUUAAGACCGCCACAAAUUGUGACAUUUUUGUGGGAGACAGGGAUUGAAUCCCUGACCUCCAGCAUCACCUUUAAUGGUGAUGACCACCGGAUCAAAUGCCCAGUGCCUUGGAAAAGUCAUGUCGUUGGGCAGAUUUAAUGCGUCAUGUCAUUGGGCCAAUAAAAUGCACGCGUAUAGAUUUAUUCUCCCAAAUAAAGCUGACGUAAGCAGCUACACCAUGGCAAAUAAUUAAUUGCACUUCUCUCUUUUUAAUUACAAGCAGAAGCCAUCAAGAGUUGCAUUUAAUCGGGGUUUUCUUGAUCUAAGCUUACAUGAUUAAUCGAUGGUUAUGUAACCUAGAAUUAUGGAGCAAAAUUGGCUUAGAAGUAUGAUGCAUUCUCUUGGUAAUUUAAUUUUAUUUUUCAGAAAUGAUCCAAAUUUUCACUUUUCAAACCAUGCAAAACUUGCUUUAAAUUUUGAAAACAUACCAAUAUCGUUCCAUAAUCCAAUUUCGACCAAGUUUCUGGCAAAAUCGAAAAAUGGAAAAACAUGCGCAUUAUAUCAAAUUUCGACCAAAUUUCAACCACAUGCGCAUUAUAUCAGGUGCAAAAUGGAAAAACGAAAUUCUUCCCAAUCAAAACUAAAACAGAAAAUGAUGAAUUUCAUCCCCUUAUAUUUUUGCAAAAUAUUUUUUUCCAUCGCACAUAUUUAAAGCUUGUAAAAUCUAUACCCUUACAAGUUGAAGAUGUACUACUAAUUUCCUCCAAAAAAAUGAGUUUUUAUCAACUUUUAGGUAAAGGGUAGCAUACCCUAGUUUAGGUUUGCAAACGGAUCAAACCGUUCGUGAGCUGCUCGAGUUAAAAAUCGACUCAAGUUUAGUUGAUAUCGAACUCAAUUCGAGCUUGAGGUGACCAAGUCAAACUCGAGUUCAAAGAUACUUAGUUCAUUAAUACGCGAGUCAACUCAAUUAUAUAAAUAUUUAUAUUAAUAGUAAAAUUAUAUAUAUAUUUCUAAUAUUUUAUUAUUUGUUAAAAAAUUAUUAUUUUAUUCAUUUUUUAAAAUAUAAAAUAAUUUUUAUUUUUUAACCAUGAGCUCGAGCUCGAGCUGUUACAUUGAGAGUUCGCCGAGGUCAAACUCGAAUUCGAGUUUGAUAAAACUAAGUUAAAAUUCGACUCAAUUAGACCAAAACUCAAUUCGAGUCGAUUUGUUUGCAACUCUAACCUAGCUACAUUACAAUAUUUCAAGGCUGUUAAUCAACUGAAUGACCAAAGCAAAAGCAAAUAGCGAAUUAAACCUCGUUGCUUCGCUGACGGAUCAAUGUUUCAUUAUUUGAAGGAAAUAGUAAUGCAUAGCCACCAAGCCAGAAAAAUUCGACUGCAAAUUGUUGAUGUAGUAAUUUAUAAAAGCUAGAUAAAAUUCUUCUAUGUUUCAAUGAUGUUUACUUUUUUUUUGGCUUGCUCUACUUUUAUACAGCUCUCAUCUGUUGUGUUAUCAACAGAUUCAUAGACGAAUUUGUCCUGUUCCAUGGGCUUGAUUAUAUUUUCUUCAAAUAAUCAACAUGCAAUAACUAGUGAAGCAACGAGAAUCUAGUGCGACAUCUACUUUUGUCUUCGUCACUUGGUUGACUAAUAGGCCUUGAGAUGAUUUACAAUUGAUUUAGAUUUGGUUUUGGGAUGAAAUUGGUACAUGUUCAAAAUGACAGGGAUGGUUUUGCAUUCUUUUAAAUGUGAUGGAUGAAAGAAAAUAUUUUCAAAUAUGUGAGGGACAAAGUUGGCCAUUUCCUCAUUUAAUUUUAAAGGGGAAGAGUUUUACCUUUCGAUUUUGCCCCUAAUAUAUUAAGCGCGUGAUUGGGGUAUGAAAUUCUUAGCUGGAGAGUUGAUCGAAUUUGAUUUUGUGGGACUAAAGUGGUAUAUUUCCAAAAUAUAAGCAUUAUUUUAUGAAUUAAUCUUCUAUACACUGACAACGUAUACACUUUCAUCGUUAGAUGUAUGACAUGUAAUCCGAAUUUGAAUUUGAAAUUCGAAUUUUACAUAUGUGUCGUAUAUCCAAUCAUGAUAGUAUAUACAUCGUUAGUGUAUAAAAAAUUUACUCUUAUUUUAUAUGAUUGUAAGUGUGGGGCAUGAAAAAAUCUUUGCUGAAAAAAUAAGGGACUAAUUGGGUCUUUUUUUUUUUAUUUUCGGCCUGGUACAAAAAUCUUUUUACCAUAGCUGUGAGAAUGAAAUAGAACAGCAAAUAAGGACUUGAUUGGAUUUACAUUUCAUUGAUCAGAACUUGAUUUUGGGGUGCAGAGAUGCUGAGAACAUCCAUGAUAAUUUAGCAAGAAAGAAGGAAUAAGGACACAGAAGUUUUCUCCUUUCUAGUGGUGGGGUUAAAUUCUUAUAAUUUCUUAUCAUCCUCGAGCAAGUCUUUUGAGCAACGUUACUUAUUUUAAAUUCAAAUGAUCGUCAUUUUUAGAGGACAAUUGUAAGUUAUCUUUGAAAUUACAAUGACUAAAAUUAUCUUUUUCUAUCGAAAAAAAUAUCAAAUUAUACUGUAAACAUUAAAAAUUAUUAUGCAUAUCUUGGUUCAGGUGCUCAUUUCCCUUUAUCAUACAAUGAAAAGGAAUGGUCUGUCGCUUCGGAACAUCCAAUAAAAUUGGAAUGGUACAGAGAAGAUUUGCAAAGACUGUGCAAGGGUGACACAAAAAAUGAGAAAAAAAUGAGAAUGGGUAUUAGUUAAUGCACUUGAUUUAUACCAAUGAUUCCAAUGUGAAAGCACGUACUUACCCUCCUUGUCCUUCUUGAAUUUAAACACUUUCCUUGUUUAAUUUUAAUUUACUAAAUAGCUUGCGCAUGAGACCUCUCUUGAUGGGUCCAAGUGAUGAAUCCAUACUUAGGUUCAUACCUUAGAUUUUCAUAUAGGAGAUUUCUAACGAGUGCCUAUACAACUAAAUCAUACCUAAUUAGCUACAUAAAUUCACACAUUAACAAUUAUUAUCCUAUUUUACAUUUAUAUAUUUUUUCUAAUUAAUAUUAUUUUUUUCAAAAUAUGAACACGUGAAAUCCAUUGGACAUUCGUUUGACAGACUCUUUCAUAUAUAACCAUUCUACUCUAAAUAAAUAACCUGUGAUCAUUAAAGAUUGAACCGAAAUUCAAAUUAAAUAAAAUAUUUUUAUUGAUUAAAUGCUAGUCAGAUUGAUUGCAAAUUCAAGCAUCACAAUAGGCAGACCUUUCUGGGAUCUACAGCUUCUUUUAUCUUGGACCAUGCACAAUGCAGCAGCAUUGAAGACCACUAAAUCCCGGAACGCAUAAAACAUUAUUGAUGUGCAAGUCCACGUAGCCACACUGCUCGAUGCAAUCAAGUCUUGUGGUGCAUGUACCAACAAACUUGCAAUCGCUAUACGGUCCAUCAUCGUCGUCGUUAAUCUCUGCAACAAUAUAUAUAUACCAAUUCACCGUUGAAUUAUUACUUAAUUCUAUACCCAAUCCAAAAGCAAUUAAAAUCUUAUAAUACUCAAAAUUAAAAUCAAAGGCUCGAUUGAUUUGUGAUCUCCACUUUCGAGUUUCUAUCAACGUAUGAUACAGCUUAGAUAGAAGCAUUACCAUUAGAAUAUCCAGAAAGAAGAAGAGUCAUGAGGAUGAGUGAAACCAAUUGAACCCUUCUUGAUGCCAUUGUGCUGUAUGUUGAUGCCAAACCAAUAUGAACAGCAAAUACAACAGAACUACCCUUGCCUAUUUAUAACGAAUGAUAUUGAUAAUUAGAAACGUGUCAUCACCUAUGUGGUUCAGAUUUAGGUUCAGGUUGACCUGUGUACACACUUUGACAAAUGGCUUAUCCGUAUAUUAAAGCUUUUGAAAAUCCGAUUCAUCAUCUUAGAGUGAGACAAUUCGCAGAUUAAUUGGCUAUUGUCGUUUUUUGCUUGAGUGGUUUUUGAUGUGGAACCGUUUCUAAAUGAAACUGAUAGAAGACCAACUUUCAAAAAAGAUUUACCAACCGUUUGGUUGGUGGGUUUUCUACUCUUCAAUGGGUAUAGAAAGUGCUUUAUACCCAUAGAUGAUGUUUGAUAUACUUCUAUGGGUAUUGUUCAAUCACAAUCAAAAAGCCAAAAGUAGGUAAUGGUCAUUACUGACCAAUUUGUGGGGGAAUGAACCCCAUUGACGAAUUUAACACUAAAUGGCAUAAGAAAAAUACAAAAAAGAAUGAAGAUACGGCUAUCUGUCCAUAGCGACGCCAGUCUUUCUUUCUUCUUGUACUCUUUCUUUUCCCCUUUUUUCCUUUUCUUUUUGUAUUUUUGUAAGCAUACUCAUGUUCCUUCCUUUCCUUUAUUCUCUCCUCCAAUCUUUUUCUUUCUCUUUUCUCUUGAUGGCCAGUAGUAGGUGGCGGUGGUGUUGGUGUCCAUUGUUGCUUGGGUGAAGCUUUUUUUUUCUGGCAAUUAUUGUAACUUUGACAAACUUUUCUUUAUGAAACCUUAACACCCUUAAUCUUGUGAUUUGCAGGCAAAACAUAGCAUCAACUUGUGUGUGUGUGGUUUUUUGUUUUUUGGUCUUCAAGAUUUUAAGUUUCACUCCAUGUGUUAUUGGACAAUUUGAUGUCAAAUUAAUUUUAAAUUUAACUUCUCCAAAGUGAGAUGAUUGUUUUGAUAGUCAUUUGGCUUAUAAAUUUUUUGAACUUGCCACGUUGGUGGACUUGCCACGUUGGUGGUGAUGGUGGUUGAAGGUGGUUGGGGUUUAGUAUUGGAACUUAGGAAGAAGAAGGGGAAAUGAAAAAAAAUAAAAAAAUUUGAAAACCCAUUCCUUUUGAUUACAAUACCAAACAAUCAAUAAGGUUUUGGUAAUACUCAUUGCCAUUGAAGAAUUUUUGAUAGCCAUUUCUAUUGCUAUUCCGUAGUGUAUGCCAAACAGCUGGUUAGAUAUGGCAACCAACCCGCUCGGGUAGGAGAAAUGAGGCAGGGGUGGGAGUGGGGGAUUUUUCUUACCCCGCCUCAAAUGGGGCAAGGGAUGGGGGAACAUACCAUGCUCCAUCCCUCGUUUAAAUUUUGACGUAGUAUAACAUCUAUGUAUGUUUAUGUAUAUAUAUAUAUACACACACAACUAGAAGGAAUCAGGCUGUGCAAGCAUAGCUUAGCCCUACCAAUAAAAUUCUGGUUAAAAUGCAUCACAUCAUAAUUUGCUUUCAAAUAAGGAGCAAUUACAAUUCCUAAAAAAUGAGCCUAAAAAAUAAGGUUUAUUUUUAGCAGAAUGUUCCCAAAGUUUGCUCCAACUUGCUUAUUGUAAUGUAGUAGAGAUAUAUUGUUGUAUUGUAUGGACAAAUAACAAUAAAGAAUUUAAAAACCAAACACAUGAAAAAUGCAAAACCAGUUCAAUGUUAACAUAAAUGGUAUAUGCUUCAUAAAACUCAAACAUCAUGCUAUUAUAAUUACAAAUGCAUAAAAUUUCACCACUAUUUCUUUUCAAACAAGACACCAUCAAGUAAAAAUUCCCAUCCUACAAUUUCACAAUAAAACUUGGAAGAAAUUGAAAUGGAAGGUUUUUCAAUGCAUAAAAAGGGUACAAAAAUUUAGUACCAAAGAAUUACUAGAUGAAGUGCUAGAUUCAAUUAUGCAUUGAAAAGGAACUAAAACAUCAGAAAUGCAAAACACAAAUUUUGCAUUUAGAUUCAAGACAAAUCUCACAAAAGGAGAAUUGCCUUGCAGAACCAAAAUAAUUGAAGGCUUAAUGAAUCAAGGAGAUCAAGCCAAAAUAAAUAAAUACAUCAUGGUAACAGGAUAAAGAAACUAUACUGAGAACUUGAAUAGUUGGGAUAGAUCAAAAGUGGGGAUUGAAGGUUGGAGGCAUAUUGUAAUUGCAUCAUCAAAAUACCACAAUUGGUAUAUUUAAACUUUUUCAUGGAGAGCACCACAAAACAGAGUUAUCUUCAUUUAAUUUUGGUUCGAAAUUUUAGUCCAGCUGAAAACUGUCUUUUCAAAAUUUUCCCUGUUUAGACCAGAGAAUUACCAAAUUAGUCGACUCAAUUUUUUUAAGUAGGAGAGGGGUGGAAUUUGCGAACGGGGAGGGGGAAGACGGGAAUUGAAUCCAAGACCUUUAGUUCGUGGGUCUAAUCUUAGCUACUAGACUAUCUCAACAGUCAACUCAAUUUAUUAUACAUGCUUGAUCAAUUCAGUUUAGUCUCAUGAAGUUUCUUCAGCUUACAGUAAUAUUUGUAUUGCAUUAUGACUUGAGUAUUGGAUUUUGUGUUUGGCUACUCCAUUGAUGCAUGAUGGUCAAUCAUCGUUUGAUCAUCAUCAAUGGUGUUCUAUCUCUGCGUCUUCAUGGUUUACUUCAUCAUUUACUGUAUUAAAUUGCACUGCUAGUUAUUGCCUAGAGCAAUAUACACAAACUGUUCUAUUUGCUCAUCGGAUUUCAGUUUUCGACUUUAGGGCUUUAUCCGCAUUGAUCGUUUUGAUCCUAAAACAUGGAUCAUACCUGGUGAUAACUCUAGAACCUACACACUGGAGAAAGAGCAGCUUUCACCUAGCAGAACUAUUUAUGACAGGAAGAAGAGGAUGAUUGAAAUGAAGACCGUUGCUGAUGUAAUUGAGGCCCUCAUUGGUGUAUUCCUUUGCUCUACCAGUGAAAUAGCAGCCUUAGCGUUUAUGGAGUGGCUUGGUAUUGAAGUUGACUCUAUUUAUGUGCCUUACAUAAGGCCACUCCCUGCAAAUCCAGGGGAGGUGGUCGAUCUCAGAUUUUUCGAGACUCGUUUGAAUCAAUACUCAUUCCAUGAUGCUUCUCUCCUUGUUGAAGCACUUACUCAUGGUUCAUACAAGCGACCUGAGAACCCCAGAUGCUAUAAGGUAAUCUCUGCCCUUGCUUUUUCUCAUGUUGUUAUAACGGUAAACCAUUCUACUUGUUUUUUGAACAAUUUAUGAUCUUGUUGGGAAUGUCUUCAGUAUUUCCUCUGUUUUAUUUUCUCAACUUGAUUGUGCAUAGGCAUGUUUUUUUGUUAUGUCAAACUUUGAUUUCCUGCAAAAUUGUGAAGCACUUAAAUCUCAUCUACUGAAAUAUCUUUUUGGUUGCUCGUCCGGCUUUAGUAUUUUUCCCAGUAUUCAUUUUAGUGGUUCAAGAUAUAUAUAUUGCACCAAAAGAGAAGCUGUUUGAUGUGUAUGGUGAUAUUAUUUGCUUGCAGAGAUCAGCUUUUUGAAGUCUAGUGCCAUAUUUCAUACUACAAGAAGUGGUAUUAGUUGUACUUUUUUGGUCGAAUUGAUUAGUUACUUACAGGUUCGCUAGAUCAUUCGAGUCUAUUUGAAUUACCAUAUGUAUUUCGGAGCCACCAGAUUAUUACUUGUUUAGUUGAUAAUAGCCCUGGAGAUAUAUGUCUUUCCGCACACGAUUACUUGAUUAAGUGCAAAACUAUGUCUGUUGGGAAAAUUUACAUAGGAGGGGUUUGCAUGCUCUGGUUCUUCAAUGGCUAGAUUGCUUACAUGAUCCUUAUAUCAUGCACUAGUUUGAAUUUGUCAAUAGUUCCAUACUGCAGAAGAUAUCACUGGCAUGCCUUCCAGCAAAGAUAUUAUUGUGGAUCUUGCAGAAAAGUAUGAAGAAUCGCAGAAAUCUUGCAGAAAAGCUUAUUGUGGAUUAAGUCGACAGCAAAAUUGACAACUGGUCCUUGAAUUCUUCUGCAGCUGUAGAAUUUCUGCCAUAUUAGCGGUCAUAUGAAGCCAUCCAAGAAAAUAUCCAAGUGAACUUAAAUGUUUCCAAUAAUUUAGAAUUGGAAUAAGCUUGUGAUAUUUUUCUCCUCAUUAACAUAAAUUUCAUAUACAAGAUCAAAGAAAUUAGCCCAAUUGCAUGCAAAUAUAGAUUUUUUUUGACGUCUUUUUCUUUUAUCAACUGGACGAUUAUACACCGGAAUAGUCAAUUUGAACUCAACUUGAUACUAUAAAUGAAUUUUAAUUCUUAUUCGAAUUCAACCUCAAGUUCGUUGAAAAUCGAACUGGAAUCAAGGCUAAACUAUUAGUUAAGGGCUUGAUUCAUCUAUAGCCCUAAUGGGGACUUUAGCAUAACAUGACUAUUGUACCCUCUUUUUAUGUAAUUGGUGCGUGGUGCAACAGCAUCUUAAAUAAUGUUUAUGGAGGCAAAAUGACUAGCUUAUCCUCCAAUGUAACCAUCAAUUUUUUCAUUAGCAUAAAAGAGGUAGCCCAUCAGUUUAAAAAUCAGUGGAAACCUGUAAUUUCUAAUAAAAACUCGUUGAAAUAAUAGGUCUCAUUCAAAUCAAUAAUUGAAUCAUGUUUAAGACAAUUUCAAUGUGUAAUAGGGAGUUUUUGGCUAAAAUAACCUACUUUUCAAAAAAUAAUCCAAAGUAAUGCUCUUUCAGUUUUUAUUCCCUUGUUAAUCUAGUCAUUGCCACAUAGGCUCCCUAUCAAAGGAAAAGAAUCACUUGUAGAUCUUUCCUUCCAUUUAUUACAUGAUUUUUCUUUGUUUGGUGCCCCAAGGACAUUCUAUAAGCAAAUUGAAAAAGGAAAGUGGGUUUAGAAUUAGUGCUUCAAAAGUAUCGACCACCUCCUAAAUUGCAAAUUUGCAGAGGAACUUCUUUUCCUACAUAGCAUUAUUUUUUAUCAUAAUAUUACAAGUUCCUCUCUUUUUUCUUGUAACAUGCAAUUUUAUAUAUGCCGGUCUCCUAACUUUGUACAUUUUAAGAAGUUUGUAAAAAUUCAAAUUGUUUGACACGUGAGUAAUCAUUUCAAGAUAUGUGAUGAUCACAGUUUUUGUGAACAGCAAAAAUUCCACUAGAGAGGGAAAAGAUAAUUAACAAAAAAUUCUCUUGCAUUUUUGGACUCAUAACAAAAACCCUUUCAAAAAAAAGAGAGAAAAAAGAAUAUAACUAGGUCAUUAUUAGUACCCAAGUUAACACACUAUUAUAUAGGCCAAUCUAAUGUGAGAAAAUACUAAUUAACUCAAUAAUAGAUGAAGACAUGACUUUAUUUACCUUUGAGACUGCCAUAAGUAGUAAAAUUUAAACUGUUGAAAUGUCAUUAACAAUCGAUGCGGAUUGUGACUAUCAUAAAGAAAGAAUAUAAGAGGACAACGUGGCAACAAGUAAAUUAACAAAGGAAUAAAUUUUGAAAAUGCAAUAAUUUGGCAAUAAUUUCGAAGGAGAAUGUCAUUGUGAAAAUAAACUCGUGUAAUAGGUGAAGAAUCAGUUUUCUUGGCCGUUACAAGUGUAACUGAAGCCGCCUUCGAGUUCUUUUGCAUUUUUUGGGCAGUUUCUUUUGGAUAUAAUAACGGAAGUUAUUACUACUAAAGAUUGUUGGUUCAGCUGAUCGUAGUUUGCAUUUGGAGCAGCUGUUUGGAGAGGUAUGUUUAUUCUCUCUCUCUCUCUCUCUCUCUGCUGAGGAUUAGGUAUUUUUUAGAGUAUUUUUCAAAAAUUUGUUGUAAUAUUGUAUUUGAAAAUUGUUUUAAUAGAUGUAUUAGGGUGUUUUCAGGGGUAUUUUUUAGAUGUAUUUUAGGGUAUUUUUAGAAUUUAAAACAUUUAAGGUAUUUUUUAAAAGUUUAAACCACUGACUGCUACCACCAGCCGCUACCAUCCUCUCUCUCCUCCUUCCUCUUUUCUUUUCUCUCUUUCUCUUUCUCCCCCUCCUUCUUUCUCUCUCUUCUCCCCUUCCCCUCCUUCCUUCUCCCUCCUUUCCUCCCCUCCCUUCCCUUUUCCCGCCGGCACCCUUCCCCUCCCUCUCUCUCUCCCCCUCCGUGACUGGUCACAACCAAAGGGCCUCAACCAGAGAUUCAGAUCUAGUAGUAACUGGUCGCAAUCAGAAGCUAGUCGCGACCAUCUAAUCGAUGGCCGUGCACCAACAACCAGAUCUGAAGUGGAGGGGAAGGAGUUUCUGGCAUAGGGAAAGGGUAGGGAGAGGAGAGGAGGAGGGAGGGGAUGGUGGUAGUGGUGGUGGUAGGUGGCGAUGGCGGUGGUGGGUGGCGAAAGAAAAAGAAGUGAUAGAAUUAUUAUUAUUAUUAUUGUAUUUGUGAGUUGUUUUUUACGGAUUGAUGUUUUUUAAGUUAUUUUUAUUUGUUUAUUUCUGUAACAUUGUAUCUAAAAAAUUAGUUUUUAAAAGAUAGCAAUAUCCAAACAGAGCCAAAUCUUGUUCAGAUUCAUUUGUAGAUUUACAAAAUAUUGCAUUUUGAGUUUGCAAUUAUAGUGUUGUCUCAUUAGUUCUUUAGAUAUUGCACGAAUCCUUUAAUUUGAGUGCAAAAUUAAUGAUUCCCAUAAAAAUAUAAGAAUACUAUUAGAUAUUUAACCAAAAUUUUAAAAUUUUGAUGCUCCUGAUGGCAGAGGUUAUCGAUGCACUGCAAA